rnacentral:lncRNA from 1 species
ACGAUAUGGAGAACCUUAUAGUCUACUGCUAUGUUGCCCCUGCUAGGUAAGAUUUUGUGAUACCGAGACUGUGAGGAAGGAAUACUUCAAAGAAGAAACUGUGCCUCCUGAUUUCCGCGAUUAGGUGACAUGAUUAUUUCUUCAGUAAUUGCAAGUCAGUUCUACCUAUGCCUUUGUGUAACGAUUGAAAUUCUAAAUUGUGCAGAUUAUUUUUAGUUCCUCCAAUCUCUCCUAAAAGCUAUUUUGCAGAAAUGUGCAGGUGGUCUCGGAAACAUGACCUUUAAUUGAUUGAGAAUCGAUUGGCACCCAGGGGGGCUGGCGCCUUCCUAUACCUUUUGAUUAACUUCUCAAAAGUUGCUCAGACGACAACAAACGAUUGGAGAGUCCAGUAAAAAAUGACCCUGUAGUCCUGUACUUGUAUAACUUCUGCGAAGUAGAAUGCUGAGUUUAGGCUGCUGUCUGGAGUGCUCCUGUACCAUAUUUUUCUGGUUUUGGAUGAAGCUAUAUGGACCAAAUUCAUCUCUGUUGAACAAUUGCCAAUUACAUAACUUGUGUUUGCCCAAUUCCAUGGUGUAGUACCAUAACUUCUCAGUGCAGUGCAGACAACACAUGGAUUCCAUUUUUGAUUAAAGUAUCAUCUGCUACAAAUAUGAAUCAUGGUUUAGUUUGUAGACAUCAUAAAGAAACACACAGAUUAAUCAAACCAGUCUUCGAAGAGUCUCUGUGGAUAGGAACGUUCCAAAGCAAAGUAAGAUGCAAGUUGUAUUGCAUAAAAACCAGGUACACAUCAAUCAGCUGCAUUUUGGAAGACUAAACUGCAACACAACUACAUCUGCAAUCACAGAGAAAUCAGGUAUACGACCAAUUGUUAUCUGUUGUAAAUAUUUUGUUUUUUAGGUCAACAACGGAGAGGGUCAAGCGAUCCCCACGUACAGAUGCCAGCAUGGUCUUUUACAUGGUUCCAAGAGGAGGUAAAUCGAGUGUGGCCCUAAAAAGAUCUGCCUUGUGCCACUUCAACACUUUAACCCAGAUGUUGCAUUGUGGUGUGGCAAAGCCUCGAGAAUAUGACAAUAACAGCUGCUCAAAAACUGUUGGUAGGAAUAUUUAUAGCAGCAAAAGAACAAAAUGGAAUGUGUGGUUUCUUAUCUGCCUCAGAUGAGAUAAGAUUUCAGACAUGUGUAUUCAUGUUUUCGAGUGAUUUGGCAGUAUGAAUGCACUAGAUGGUUGGUUGCUUUUUUGUUAAUUGCUUAGGUGAUAUAUGCUGUAUUUCUAGUCACUAGUUGUCGGCGUUUCGAGACCGGGGGGUCCCUAAGCUGACGAGUGAAUGUCGCCGCGUGCCCCAGCCCAGAUGGGUCGACGCGAGGCCGAGCGCGAAGGGGGGAAGUGAGGUGGCCAGAGAUGGGCGUGAGAGAGGUGGAAAUCCCGCGGCCUUCGUGUUCGUCCCGCGCCCAGGUCGGGUGCGCUUGCAGUAGGGGGUUACAAGCGUCCACGCAGGAGAGGGAGCGAGCGGCUCCAAGCGAGCGCCUGUCUCGUCCUCGUCCCCGCGCGGCCAACCCUCUCUAAGAGGGCCCUGGUCCUUCCUUUUAUAGGCGUAAGGAGAGGAUCCAGGUGUACAAUGGGGGGUAUAGCAGAGUGCUACGUGUCUAGCGGAGGAGAGCUAGUGCCCUAAGUACAUGCCGUCGUGGCAGCCAGAGAGAUUUUGGCACCCAGCUGGUGUGAUGUCGUGGCCGUCGAAGGAGUGCUGGAGCCUGGCGGAGGGACAACUGUCGGAGCUGUUGAGUCCUUGCUGACGUCCUCUUGCUUCCGUAAGGGGGCUGAGAGCCGCCGUCGUUGAAAGGAUCACGAUGCCCAAGAGGGGGGGUGAAUUGGGCUUUUCUAAAAAUCAAAACUAAUUAAAGACUAAGCAAGAGCUAAGCAAGAGCCCAACUUCACCCCAACAAUUAGCACUAAGAAUAUAAUACUAGAAAUGCAACAAUGCUAAGACAAUACUUCAAAUACUUGCUAAACAAAUACACAAUGUAAAGUGCUUGAAUUAAGUGCGGAAUGUAAAGCAAGGUUUAGAAGACUCCUCCAAUUUUUCCCGAGGUAUCGAAGAGUCGGCACUCUCCACUAGUCCUCGUUGGAGCACCCGCGCAAGGGUAUCGCUCCCCCUUGGUCCUCGCAAGAACCAAGUGCUCACUACGAGAUGAUCCUUUGCCACUCCGGCGCGGUAGAUCCCUCGAGACCGCUUACAAACUUGAGUCGGGUCACCAACAAGAUCUUCACGGUGAUCACCGAGCUCCCAACGCCACCAAGCCGUCUAGGUGAUGCCGAUCACCAAGAGUAACAAGCCGUAGACUUUCGCUUGACCAAGAGAAGCCUAAUGCAAGUGGUUUGUGCUCUAGGUGGCUCUCACUAGCGCUAAUGAGGAACAAACGCGGAUUAUGAUUCUCUAAUCUCCUCACUAGGCUUUUGGUGCUUGCAAUGCUCUAGCAAUGUGCUGGAAUAAAUGUGGAGUGCAAGACAUUGAAUAUGGUGGGUGGAAGGGGUAUAAAUAGCCCUCACCCACCAACUAGCCGUUACAGGCAUCUCACUGCGCAAUGGCACACCGGACAGUCCGGUGCGCCACCGGUGCGCCACCGGUGCGCCAACGGUCGUUUCCAACGGCUAGUUCUGACAGCUAGCCGUUGGACUCAUGGCACACUGGACAGUCUGGUGAGAUGUCCGGUGCGCCACUAAAAUUCAACUCUCAAACCUGCGCUCUCGGGUUUCUGCGGAGGGAGAGCCUCUGCCCCGGACCAGCCUGGCCCCACUUGGCAGAGAGUGCACCGGACAGUCCGGUGCACACCGGACAGUCCGGUGCCCCAGGGCCAGAAACACUAACUCUUGUUUUUCAACUGAUUUUCAAAUCGGUUUUCGUUCUAACUUAUGAGUGAGUUCUAGAGUGACACCUAGCACUGUAUAUGAGUGUGAUUGUGCUCCAACACUACACUAGAACUCUCUUGGUCAAACUACUCAUCGACAGCCCCUCUUUAUAGUACGGCUAAAAGAGAAUAAAAGACCUAACUAAAUCGCGAGUGUCCACAUCUCCUUGACACUCGGACUCCGUAGACCUUCACCUUUUGUUUCGUCGUUUUAGCCGUCGCUUUGAGUUCUUAUCUCCGGGAUUGUUUUCACCGUUGUAGUACUUCUACCUGUCAUGCGACCUAACUUACCAUUUGUUUCUGCAAAACACACGUUAGUCACAUAUAAUAUUACGUUGUCAUUAAUCACUAAAACCAACCAGGGGCCUAGAUGCUUUCAAUCUCCCCCUUUUUGGUGAUUGAUGACAACCCUACAAGUUUUGUGAGAGGAGUUUGUUUUGAAGUUUCUAUCAAUAGAAAGAAUGGUUAGUUAUACUCAGUAAUCUUUGACAGAAAGAACGUGUAUCAUAAUAAUAAGAGUGAGCGCAUACAUAUCAUAAGAUUCUUGUUCAUAUAGAAGUGAAGUUAAAUCAAUGAAACAAGAACUAGAGGACUGGUGAUAAAAUAUAAGGUGAAAACAUAAUACACACAGUCAAUCAUAAGCAACGAGAGUAUAUGUCGAGUUUGUGAGCCAAAAACAUCAAGCUAGUACAGAGAGUAGCAAGCACAUAUAUUACAUCAAAAUGACUCUCUAACUCCCCCUAGCUCUCACAACUCAUAUCUCUCCCCCUUUGGCGUCAAACACCAAAAGGGACCUGAACCUAAACAUCUGAAGCAGGAGGAGGCGGCGGGGGCGCAUCCGGUCGCGGUCGAGGCAGCAGAGCGAACGCCGGCGGAGGGUCAGAGUCAGUCUCGGAUCCAGGAUCUGCGGUAGAAGCUAGAGCUGGUACUGACUCGGACUGAGGCCGCGCUGCAGGAGCUACCGGAACAGACGCGGUCACAGAUACUGCCACAGCAGUAGUGGUAACAGCAGAUGCUGGUGGCACUGGCGGCUGCGGGCAGACAGAGCUAAGAACCGGAGAGGUGAACGCCAAAGUGACCGGCCGGAGCGGAGAGGUACCAACAGGGGGUCCUAACAAAAUCGAUGGCACCACUGGAGCGUGAAGCGGAGGAGGAACCCCAAAAUCAUCAUCAUCAUCAUCAUCAUCAUCAUCAUCAGCUGUUGUACCCUGAGUGUCAAACUGUCGAAGAGCUGCAUCCUCGGCCUGAGAGUCAAAAAUAGGAGCAGAAGCUGGCACAGGAAUCUCAGGCGCAGGACGGUAGGAUCCAAAAACAAGGCGUGAGGCCUCAAGAGUGCCCUGAAACCGAGGAGGCUGAAUCAGCUGCGCAAAGAUGUGGCACAAGUAGUGAGCAUAGGGCAACUGACGACGAGCAUGAAUCCCAUCCAAAACGGUGUCCUCGAUCUCACAAAUCAGGAAGUCUACGACAUCGAACUCUGAGUGAGAGACCAGGGCACCAAGGAGCCAAAGCUGGAUAUGUGUGGUAGCCUCCCUGUAUCCCAUCCUCGGCAGAAGAGUCCGUCUGAUAAGCUCAUAUAAAUACUUUGCUGCUGUAGUAAAAUCUGCCAGUGAACGUCGCGACCCAUCUGAAAAGGGCGGGCGGAACAGAGCCGCGACGUGAGCUGUACCCGGAGCCACACCGCCGUGAGGGCGAUGAGGAGGGUCAGAAGUGCCGUAGCAGAGACUGUGAAGACGAGUCGUCGACUCGGGAAAUCCAAAAAGCUGGUGGAUCUGACUGGCAGUAAUGGUGACAUCCUCGCGCUCAAACGAAACCUCAUCCAGUGAUGAUCCGGGUCAAUCCAUACAGAGGCGUAGAAGACUCGUACCCACUCCUCAACAUACCUGCCGCUGGUAGUUGGGUCUGAAGUCCAGGCAGAUAGGUGAGGUGCGCCUCAGAGUCAGCGCCGGCUGCAAGCAGAAAGGCUGGAAGAUCCAAAAGUCGGUGCACUCGCAGAGCUAUCUGAGCAGACAUCUGAGCUCUGAAAAACGACUCCUGAAUACGUGUGCUGAAAAGGUCACCUGCUGCAGGGUCUCUCUGAGCUGGUAGCCAAGACUCCAUGGGUACGUAUCUGAACCUACGUACCCGUGCCGUUGUAGCACGUUGAAGGUCAAACAGUCGAGGAUCCGUAGCCAGAGGACGAACCUCAGUCUCAUCGCGCUCCCGGAAUCGAGGUGGAGGGACAGGAGGAGCUGAAGCGGGAGCGGGAGCGGGAGGAGGAGGAGCAGUGGAAGCUGGCAUAGUGGUGGUAGCGGGUAUGGCUGUGGAGGUGGAUGGAGCAAUAGGAGUGACGGGAGCAGGCAGAGUGGGUGGCGGAGUGGAAGCGGAGGUGUGAGUGGAGGAGCGAGGCCGGGAGGCGAGACGACGAACACGGUAGGCGAUCUGAUCUGACGGAGUCUGCGGCUGAUCUCCAAGCUCGGCCUGCGCAGCGGCUGCUGCAGCUGCUGCCGCUGCAUGGGCUGCUCUGUCCGUACGCUGCUUCUUGCGGCCUUCCUGCUGCUCCAAGUAAACAGUCUUGCCCUUGACCUGCCUGAAGGGGCGACGAGGAUCCUCAUCAUCGCCUCCCCUGGCGCCGACACAUUCUUCGUGCGUGGCAUCCUGAACUGAUGUCUGCAAAAUGAGAGAGAGUGACUAAGCACAGAGCAAAAAUGACCGAUAGAUUAGCAAAAGAUGAGAUGACUACCUGGAAAGCUCACACGAGAGGUGACGAUCCAGGCAGGACGGGAGACGGCACACGUGCAAUCAAGGUCACUGAAAUGACAGAAGAGGUGAGCACGUAUUAGUCACAUAGUCAUAAGUAUAUGAAAUGUGAAUAAAUACAUACACAGAGAGAUAUGGCACAGAAAACACGAGACGAGACGAUCGAUAGGUCAAACGGCGUGAAAACGACGUUUGAACGAUAAAAAGUGCCAUAGGAGGUUUGGAAUUCGAAUUGAGGCACAAAACGACAUGGAAUUGAGCCAAAACUUCACGAAUAGGUUAAUGUAGGUGAAUAUGAGUGAAGUGUGUGCUUGGUUUGAAUUUAGGCGAAGAAAAAGAGAUUUGGGCACUCGGCUCGGAAACGAUCGCUCGAAACGGGGAAUUUGGUGAAAUUUAAGCCUGGAAACUCGGAUUGGCGUGAAAUUUGGCAAGGAUGUUGCUGGAAGUGUUGUGAAGGUGCCUAAAAAAUUUGGGUUCAAUUGGAGCAUUUUUGGCUGGUUUGGGCAUUUUACCGAACACGUGGUGGGCGAGAAAUUAGGGUUUCGGAGAAAUGGCCAUUUGAGGAGUGAAAACCCUCCCGAAGGAGCUAAGAACCUGCAGGGAUACACAAUGGGGACAAUUGAACACAUUCUACCUUUUGGAUUCAUUGGAUUUGACAAGAAUUUGAAAAAUGGACAAGGGGUGGAGACUGAGUGCCUCACUGCCUCUCAAACCGAGAGCAGGAGAGAAAAAGAUAGAGGGAAGGAGAGGGGGGAAGUGCUGCUCACCGGAGAGGGGCACGAGAGCACCAGGUCGCCGGAGGGUCGCCGGUAGGGGGAAGGUCGCCGGCGGAGAGAGGGAGACGCCAGAGACAGAGACAGAGACAGAGACAAAGUGCGCUGGCAGGGAAAAGAUGAGCCUCUGGCUCGGUUGCGGGCUGGAGGCCUUUUUUAAAACGCGAUAUGGGCGCACCGAACAGUCUACAGUGCCUGUCUGGUGCACACCGGACAGCGCACAGUAGCUGUCCGGUGAACCACCGGACAGCGCACAGGAAAACGGAUUUUUAGCGCGCGGCUGCCGGUGCACCGGACAUUGCACAGUGCAGUGUCCGGUGCACACCGGACUGUCCGGUGAGCCCAGAUAGAGGGGAGUUUGGAAAAUUUUGAAUUUUUCUAUCUAACUCCCAACCAAACCAAAUCCCAACUUAUAAUCACACAAAAUAACACUUGUUGGGACAGGUUUUGGCACCCUCAUAUACUUUUCAAAAUAUUUUGCCAUAGGCUAGAUAAUUUUUUAGAGAAAAUAGGCAAAUAGUGAAAUUUGCAUUUUGGCUUGCACUAGGGGUUUUCAUGAGUGAUUUGAGUUUUGAAUACUCCCCCUAAGUGCAAUACCUCAUGCAUAUUUCAAGAACCAAUAAUUGCAUAAAAAGCAAGAAUUUAAGUGCUAAAAGCUUAAAACUAAGACUUGUCAAGUUUGACCCGAGUUAAGCUUUUUCACUCGCUUUGUUGGCGGUUAUCUUAACUAGGUUAGACAAGCCCUAGAUGCAAUACAAGGAAUUUAAACAUGUAAUGCAAGCUUGACAACACCAUUUGACAUUUUACAUAAAAUUUCUGAGAUCAAGAAUAUUUAGUUCAUUCCUCAAUAUGCAAAAGCGGGUCUUAUCAAGUGGCUUAGUGAAAAUAUCCGCUAAUUGAUCUUCCGACCUCACUCCUUCUAAAAUGAUAUCUCCUUUAGCAACAUGAUCUCUAAGGAAGUGAUGACGGAUAUCAAUGUGCUUGGUGCGAGAGUGUUGUACAGGAUUAUUAGCAAUUUUAACAGCACUUUCAUUAUCACACAACAAAGGUACCUUUUCUAGAACUACGCCGUAGUCUAGAAGAGUUUGUUUCAUAUAUAAAAUUUGUGUGCAACAAGCACCUGCGGCAAUGUAUUCCGCUUCGGCAGUUGACAAGGCAACACUAUUUUGUUUUUUGGAUGUCCAUGAAACUAGUGAUCUACUAAGCAGAUGGCAUCCCCCAGAAGUACUUUUCCUAUCAAUUUUGCAACCGGCAUAAUCCGAAUCGGAAUAGCCAAUUAAAUCAAAAGUAGCUCCUUUGGGAUACCACAGACCAACGCUUGUGGUGUGCCUGAGAUACCUAAGAAUUCUCUUAACAGCGCGAAGAUGAGCUUUCUUAGGAUUAGAUUGAAAUCUAGCACACAUGCAGACACUAAACAUAAUAUCGGGCCUAGAUGCGGUAAGGUACAAUAAACUACCAAUCAUAGAGCGGUAGAGAGUUUGAUUAACCGGAUUACCUCCCUCAUCUAAGUCGAGAUGUCCAUUUGUAGGCAUGGGGGUCUUGAUUGGUUUGCACUUCUCCAUGUUGAACCUUUUCAACAAGUCUUUGGUAUACUUCUCUUGUGAGAGAAAGUUACCACCUUUCAUUUGCUUGACUUGAAAGCCAAGGAAGUACGUUAGCUCACCAAUCAUUGACAUCUCGAACUCCUUCGACAUCAACUCACCAAAUUCCUUGCAAUGAUAGUCAUUUGUCGAGCCAAAGAUUAUAUCAUCAACAUAUACUUGACAAAUGAAAAUAUCACCGUUAUGUUUCUUUGUGAAGAGAGUUGUGUCGACGGUCCCGAUCUUGAAGCCCUUUUCGAUGAGGAAGUCGCGAAGGCGCUCAUACCAAGCCCUUGGAGCCUGCUUUAGCCCAUAUAGCGCCUUGGACAACCUGUAAGCAUGGUUAGGAUAUCUAGGGUCUUCAAAUCCAGGCGGUUGCUCAACAUAUACAAGUUCAUUUAUGAAGCCAUUUAAAAAUGCACUUUUUACAUCCAUUUGAUAAAGUUUUAUAUCAUAGCAUGAUGCAUAUGCAAGUAGGAUACGGAUGGCUUCCAGUCGAGCAACCGGUGCAAAGGUCUCUCCAAAAUCUAAGCCUUCAACUUGAGAGAAUCCCUUUGCAACAAGUCUUGCCUUGUUUCUUACAAUCACACCUUGAUCAUCUUGUUUGUUUCUGAACACCCACUUUGUUCCAAUGAUUCUUGCAUCUUGUGGGGGCUUCUCCAGGGUCCAAAGUUCGUUACGGGUGAAGUUGUUAAGUUCUUCAUGCAUGGCAUUCACCCAGUCCGGAUCCUGUAGCGCCUCAUCUAUACAAGUAGGCUCAACACAAGAAACAAAAGAGUGAUGUUCAAUAAAAGAAGCAUGUAUAUGUGAUCGAGUAAUAACCCCUUGUGAAGGACUCCCGAUGAUUUGGUUUUGAGGAUGAGCUUGAAGUAGUGAUGAGUUUCUCCUGUCAACCACUUGGGAAGAAGAUCCUGGAGCAUCAAUAUCUUCGGCUUGUACCCUUGCUUGUUCAUGAGAGACAAAUGUAUCUUCAUUUGCAUGUCUCUCAUCUUUUUCAUCAUCUUGUGGUACAUUUGAUGAAGAAGGCCUGUCAAUGAUUUGCACUUCUUCUUCAUCUUCUUUUGGUUUGAUAGCUCCAAUAGGCAUGUUCUUCAUUGCUUCCCUAAGUGGCUCAUCACCUACAUCAUCAAGAUUUUCAAGUGCUCCUUGGGAGCCAUUAGUCUCAUCAAAUUCCACAUCAUAUGUUUCUUCUACCAUGCCAGUGACAUGGUUGAAUACUCGAUAUGCUUUGGACUUUAAUGAAUAACCCAAAAGAAAACCAAUAUCACAACGUCUUUGAAACUUCCCUAGGUGAUGGCGUUUCUUGUAGAUGUAGCAUUUGCACCCAAACACCCGGAAGAAAGAGACGUCUGGCUUUUUCCCAUUUAGCAGUUCAUAAGGAGUCUUCGCAAGUAGCCGGUGAGGAAAUAGCCUGUUUGAUGCAUAACAAGCAGUGUUGACAGCUUCGGCCCAAAACCUCUCUGGUGUGUUAUACUCAUCAAUCAUUGUUCUUGCAAGAGUGAUCAAGGUCCUAUUUUUCCUUUCAACAACUCCAUUUUGUUGAGGUGUGUAUGUGGCAGAUACUUCAUGCUUGAUCCCAAUUUCAUCACAGUACUCAUGAAUAUUGGUGUUGUCAAAUUCUUUGCCAUUGUCACUUCUAAUCUUCUUAAUCUUGCAAUCAAAUUCAUUUUGUGCUUUCUUGGCAAACUUCUUGAAUAUAGAUGCAACUUCAGAUUUGUCAUGGAGAAAGAACACCCAAGUGUAUCUUGAGAAGUCAUCAACAAUCACUAGACAGUAGAGGUUGCCACCGACACUGACAUAAUUUGUAGGUCCAAAUAAAUCCAUAUGAAGUAGUUCCAGUGGCCUUGAUGUUGACAUGAAAGCUUUAGUGGGAUGUGUAUUAGCAACUUGCUUUCCAGCUUGACAUGCACUGCAUGGCUUGUCUUUUUCAAACACCACAUCCCUUAAUCCUCUAACCAUAUCUUUCUUUAAUACCUUCUUGAGUGUGCUCAUCCCAACAUGUGCAAGCCUCCUAUGCCAAAGCCAUCCAAGAGAAGCUUUGGUGAAGAGGCAAGUUCUUAAGUCUGCAUCUUCUGAAGUGAAAUCCACUAAGUAGAGGUUGUUGUAUCUAAAUCCCUUGAAUACCAUUGAUUCAUCAUCCAUUUUUGUUACAAUAACCUCUGUUGGAGUGAAUAAGCAUUGAAGUCCAAGAUCACAGAGUUGACCCACUGAUAAUAAAUUGAAGCUCAAAGGUGCAACUAAGAGAACAUUUGAUAUUGAUAAAUCAUUUGAGAUUGCCACCUUGCCAAGUCCUUGCACUUUUCCUUUUGAAUUGUCUCCAAAUGUGAUUUUAUCUUGACCAUCAACAUUCUCAUCUAGUGAGGUGAACAUCCGUGGGUUGCCUGUCAUAUGUUGUGUGCAUCCACUGUCAAUAACCCAAUGGCUCCCACCGGUCUUGUAGUUCACCUACAUUCACAGACAAUUCAAGCUUGAGUUUUGAGGGCCCUAUAUUGCAUAGGACCAGUGACUCUCUCAAUUAAGGACUUUGCCACCCAGAUUUGUCUAGGUCUACUCUUGUUUGGUGGACCUAGGAAUGUAACCUUAACCUUUCCAUUUGCAACCUUUCUUAGAACAUAGUGAGCAUUGAAAGCAAAUGGUCUUGAGUGCUUAGGCAAGGGAGUUGGUGGUUUGGCUUUGCAGUUGUGGGCAAAGUGACCUUCAUUUCCACACUCAAAGCAUUUGAUAGGCUUGUGAGUCUGCUUUGGCUUGUAUUGAGUGGUAGCUUUCUUUUGCACAAAAGCAUUGUAUCCAAUACCACUCUUGUUGUUUUUCAUAACAGUGUUCAUAAGCAGCUCAUUUUGGAGGUAUUGACCCUUGUUGAACUUUUGCACACUUGUUGCAAGAUGUUCAUUUUCACUUUUUAGUUUCUUGACCUCAUUUUUAAGCCUUUGAUUAUCCACUGCCAACUCAUUGUUGAAAUCAUUGUUCUCAAUAGCAACCUUUCCUCUAGUAGUUGCAUCAGUCAAAUAAUUCUUCAACUUUUGGUUGUCUAAAGUCAGGACUUCAACUUUUUCAGUCAAUUCAGCAUGUAGACUAGUUUGCUCUUCUUGACUCAAAUCAUCACAUGAGGUUGCUACAUCAAACUUAACAACAGGGUUAAUAGCCUCAUGUGUUUUGCAAGAUAAAAGUUCAUUUUCAACAAGAAGAUUGUCAUGAUCAAAUUUAAUUUGAGUAUAGUCUUCCUUGAUCUUUACUAGUCUAUUUUGCAACUCCCUAUUAGCUUCAUUUAAUUUGUCAUAUUUUUCCUUAGCAUCUUUUAGGGAGUUUGUGAGCUCAUUUAUAGUUGAUGACAUAGUUUUAUUCUCUUCUUUUAUUUCAUCACUAGCCUUUAUAACUAUGUCAUAUUUGGCAUUUAAAGAUUCAUUUUCAUUUUUCAACCUAUCACAUUUAGCUUUUGACUUUCUAAUGAUUUGAGUAUAUUCUUUAAGCAAGUCAGCUAACUCAUCAUAUGAAGGUGAAGCAAAUUCCUCAUCACUAUCACUAUCACUAUCAUCAGCAAUAUUAAUAUCAUUUUGUACCUUCCGUUCACCCCUAGCCAUGAGGCAUAGAUGAGAAGUCGAUGAUGGCGAUGGUGGUGGUGAAGAGAAGUCCCCGGCGAUGGUGGCAACUUUUUCAUCAUUCUCUUCUUCACUUGAAGAAGACCCACUUGAUGAUUCGAUGUCGGUGAGCCAGUCGCCAACAAUAUAUGCCUUUCCAUUCUUCUUCUUGUGGAACCUCUUUUGCUUCCCAUCCUUCCUCUUGAAGAAUUUCUUUUCCUUCUUUUCAUCAUCGAUGUCAUCUUCUUUCUUGCCCUUGAACUUAUUCUUCUUGGGCUUGUUGCAUUGAUGAGCAAGAUGACCGAGCUCACCACAGUUGUAGCAGUCCAUCUCAGAAAUGGGCUUUCUUUUGUUGGAAAAGAAUUUCUUCUUCCUUGAAUCAAAUUUGAUGCCUUCUCUAUUUAGCUUCUUCAACAUCUUGGUGGUCUUCCUUACCAUCAAGGCAAUGUUUGCAUCAAGGUCAUCAUCACUUGAGGAUUCUUCCUUAACUUGUAUUUUUGCUUUUCCUUUUCUUUCAUGAUUUGCUUUGAGAGCCAAAUCCUUUCUUUUGGAAGAUGAUUCUUCUUUGUUGUUGAUGUGCAUGUACAUUUCAUGGGCAUUGAUCUUUCCCAAAAUUUGUGUAGGUGUGGUAACUGAAAGAUCCAUUUGAUGUAGCACAGUGACAAUGUGUCCAUAUUUGUCUAUUGGGAGGACACUGAGAAUCUUCCUCACAACAUCCGGUUGUGAGAUUUGAGUAAGCCCCAAUCCAUUAACUUCCUCUACAAGAAUAUUAAGUCGUGAGUACAUAGCAUUUGCAUUUUCAUUAGUAAGCAUUUCAAAAGAAUUUAACUUUCGCAUGGCUAUGUGAUAUCUUUCCUCACGUUCACUUCUAGUUCCUUCGUGUAGAGCACAAAUGUCCAUCCACAAAUUAUGAGCAUUUUUAUGAUUUCUUACUCUAUUGAACACAUCUUUGCAAAGGCCUCUAAAAAGGGUGUUUUUGGCCUUAGCAUUCCAUUUCUCAUAAUUGAACUCAUCACCUACAAGAUUUGUGGGAUCUCUAGGUUCGGGGAAUCCUUGUGUGGCGGCUUUAUAGACACCAAUGUCUAUAGCCUCUAAGUAUGCUUCCAUACGAAUUUUCCAAUAAGGAAAAUCGUCACCAUCAAAAACGGGAGGAGGUCCAUCCCCACCGGACAUCGUAACUCUAGCGGUUAAGCUAAUCUAUGAGCAACAAGGCUCUGAUACCAAUUGAAAGGAUCAUGAUGCCCAAGAGGGGGGUGAAUUGGGCUUUUCUAAAAAUCAACACUAAUUAAAGACUAAGCAAGAGCCUAACUUCACCCCAACAAUUAGCACUAAGAAUAUAAUACUAGAAAUGCAACAAUGCUAAGACAAUACUUCAAAUACUUGCUAAACAAAUACACAAUGUAAAGUGCUUGAAUUAAGUGCGGAAUGUAAAGCAAGGUUUAGAAGACUCCUCCAAUUUUUUCCGAGGUAUCGAAGAGUCGACACUCUCCACUAGUCCUCGUUGGAGCACCCGCGCAAGGGUAUCGCUCCCCCUUGGUCCUCGCAAGAACCAAGUGCUCACUACGAGAUGAUCCUUUGCCACUCCGGCGCGGUAGAUCCCUCGAGACCGCUUACAAACUUGAGUCGGGUCACCAACAAGAUCUUCACGGUGAUCACCGAGCUCCCAACGCCACCAAGCCGUCUAGGUGAUGCCGAUCACCAAGAGUAACAAGCCGUAGACUUUCGCUUGACCAAGAGAAGCCUAAUGCAAGUGGUGUGUGCUCUAGGUGGCUCUCACUAGCGCUAAUGAGGAACAAACGCGGAUUAUGAUUCUCUAAUCUCCUCACUAGGCUUUUGGUGCUUGCAAUGCUCUAGCAAUGUGCUAGAAUAAAUGUGGAGUGCAAGACAUUGAAUAUGGUGGGUGGAGGGGGUAUAAAUAGCCCUCACCCACCAACUAGCCGUUACAGGCAUCUCACUGCGCAAUGGCGCACCGGACAGUCCGGUGCGCCACCGGUGCGCCAACGGUGCGCCACCGGUGCGCCAACGGUCGUUUCCAACGGCUAGUUCUGACAGCUAGCCGUUGGACUCAUGGCACACCGGACAGUGAACAGUUCACUGUCCGGUGCACACCGGACAGUCCGGUGAGAUGUCCGGUGCGCCACUAAAAUUCAACUCUCAAACUUGCGCUCUCGGGUUUCUGCGGAGGGAGAGCCUCUGCCCCGGACCAGCCUGGCCCCACUUGGCAGAGGGUGCACCGGACAGUCCGGUGCCCCAGGGCCAGAAACACUAACUCUUGUUUUUCAGCUGAUUUUCAAAUCGGUUUUCGUUCUAACUUAUGAGUGAGUUCUAGAGUGACACCUAGCACUGUAUAUGAGUGUGAUUGUGCACCAACACUACACUAGAACUCUCUUGGUCAAACUACUCAUCGACAACCCCUCUUUAUAGUACGGCUAAAAGAGAAUAAAAGACCUAACUAAAUCGCGAGUGUCCACAUCUCCUUGACACUCGGACUCCGUAGACCUUCACCUUUUGUUUCGUCGUUUUAGCCGUCGCUUUGAGUUCUUAUCUCUGGGAUUGUUUUCACCGUUGUAGUACUUCUACCUGUCAUGCGACCUAACUUACCAUUUGUUUCUGCAAAACACACGUUAGUCACAUAUAAUAUUACGUUGUCAUUAAUCACUAAAACCAACCAGGGGCCUAGAUGCUUUCAGUCGUCACAGAGUAUGCGGGGCGCCAUCAUUGCCAAUCUGGCGGAGCGAGCCAGAUGGGACGCCGGUCUUGUUCCCCGUGGCCCGAGUCAGCUCGGGGUAGGGUGAUGAUGGCGCCUCCUGUUGACUUGGCUGGUCUGCGCCCUAGGUUGGGCGAUGUGGAAGCUCCUCCGAAGCCGAGAUCGAGUCUGUCUUCCGUGGUCGAGGUCGAGUCCGAGCCCCUGGUUCGGGCGAGGCGGAGACCGUCGGCUGAGGCCAGGGCGGAGUCCGAGCCCUGGGGUCGGGCGGAGCGGAGUUCGUCGUCUUCUGGGGCUGAGCCCAAGUCCGAGCCCUGGGUCGGGCGGAGCGGAGUUCGUCGUCUUCCGGGGCUGAGCCCGAGUCCGAGCCCUAGGUCGGGCGGAGCGGAGUUCGUCGUCUUCCGGGGCUGAGCCCGAGUCCGAGCCCUGGAUCGGGUGGAGCGGAGUUCGCCGUCUUCCGGGGCUUAGCCCGAGUCCGAGCCCUGGGUCGGGCGGAGCGGAGUUCGCCGUCUUCCGGGGCUUAGCCCGAGUCCGAGCCCUGGGUCGGGCGGAGCGGAGUUCGCCGUCUUCCGGGGCUUAGCCCGAGUCCGAGUCCGAGCCCUGGGUCGAGCGAAGCGGAGCUUCCUAUGGUGCCUGCGGCCGGGCCUGACUGCCUGUCAGCCUCACUCUGUCAAGUGGCACUGCAGUCGGAGCGGCGCAGGCGGCGCUGCCUUUCUGUCAGACCGGCCAGUGGAGCGGCAAAGUGACGGCGGUCACUUCGGCUCUGUCGGCUGGGGGGCGCGCGUCAGGAUAAAGGUGUCAGGCCACCUUUGCAUUAAAUGCUCCUGCGAUUUGGUCGGUCGGUGCGACGAUUUGGUCAGGGUUGCUUCUUAGCGAAGACAGGGCCUCGGGCGAGCCGGAAAUAUGUUCGCCGCUGGAGGGGGCCUCGGGCGAGACGGAGAUCCUCCGGGGUCGGCUGCCCUUGUCCGAGGCUAGGCUCGGGCGAGGCGUGAUCGAGUCCCUCGUAUGGACUGAUCCCUGACUUAAUCGCACCCAUCAGGCCUUUGCAGCUUUAUGCUGAUGGGGGUUACCAGCUGAGAAUUAGGAGCCUUGAGGGUACCCCUAAUUAUGGUCCCUGACAGUAGCCCCCGAGCCUCGAAGGGAGUGUUAGCACUCGCUUGGAGGCUUUCGUCGCACUUUUUUGCAAGGGGACCAGCCUUUCUCGGUUGUGUUUUGUUCCGGUGGGUGCGCGCGAGCGCACCCGCCGGGUGUAGCCCCCGAGGCCUCGGAGGAGUGGUUUGACUCCUCCGAGGUCUUAAUGCCUCGCGCAAUGCUUCGGCUGGUCUGGUCGUUCCCUCAUGCGAGCUGGCCGUAGCCCGGGUGUACGGUCGGGUCCCAAGUUCUCGGGCUGGUAUGUUGACGCUGUCAACGGUGUGGCUGGAGCCGGGUUCGCGAGAGCAGCCCCCAAGCCUCUGCACAGGGCGAGAGGGCAGUCAGGGACAGACUCGACUUUUUUAUAUACGCCCCUGCGUCGCCUUUCCGCAAGGAGGAGGGGGGGAAAGCGCCAUGCUGCCCUCGGUGGGCGCCGAACAUGGUGUCUCCGGUGAGCUGCAGGCGGGUAAUCCGAGUGGACGUCCGUGCCCCGUUCAUUAGGGGUCGGCUAGGGGCCCAAAGGCGCGCCCAAAAGUACCUGCGGGUGAACUGCCGGACCCGGUCCCCUGGCGACGGGGUCCGAGGGCUCGAUGCCUCCCUCCGAUGGGAUUCCGUUACAAGAUCGUUCCCGCUGGUCUCGGAAAUGUCCUAGGGUACCUCGGGAGCGCAGCCCGAGCCUUGGUUAUGUAUCGAACGUACCCAUGGUCAUCCCUCGCUCUGUGUCUGAGGCGGCUGUGAACCUGAAAGGGAAAUGUGCCCUUGGGCCAUUUCUAAGUAUUUUGGUGAUUGAGUGCCAACGCAAGUGCUUUUGUGUUGAUCUAUGCAAUGUGGUGGACAAAGUGCAAAUCAUGUCAAAAGGUAUGUUUCUAAACUUAGUACAUUAUUUUAUGGACUAAUGGGUUGUGUCUAAGUGCUGGAAACAGGAAAAGUCGAAUUGGAAAUGAGAUGGCUUUGUUUAGCCAAGUCUGCUCAGUCUGGGAGCACCGGACUGUCCGGUGGUGCACCGGACAGUGUCCGGUGCGCCAGGCUGGUUCGAGCGAAGUGGCCGCUCUCGGGAAUUCACUGGCGACGUACGGCUAUAAUUCACCGGACUGUCCGGUGUGCACCGGACUGUCCGGUGAGGCAACGGUCGGCCGCGCGAUCUGCGCGGGACACGUGGCCGAGCCAACGGCUAGAAGGGGGCACCGGACUGUCCGGUGUGCACCAGACAUGUCCGGUGCGCCAACGGCUCUCUGGCUGCCAACGGUCGGCUGCGUCAGUUAAGGAAAGAAAUCGGGCACCGGACAGUGUCCGGUGUGCACCAGACUGUCCGGUGCGCCAGACGACAGAAGGCAAGAAUUGCCUUCCCAGAUUGCUCUCAACGGCUCCUGGCUGCCUUGAAGCGAAUUCUUAGAUAUUUAGUUGCUACGCCUUGCUUCGGGAUCUGGUAUCCAAAGGGGUCUACCUUUGACUUAAUCGGAUAUUCAGAUUCUGACUAUGCUGGAUGUAAGGUCGAUAGGAAGAGUACAUCGGGGACGUGCCAAUUCUUAGGAAGGUCCCUGGUGUCAUGGAACUCCAAGAAACAAACUUCCGUUGCCCUAUCCACCGCUGAGGCCGAGUAUGUUGCCGCAGGACAGUGUUGCGCGCAACUACUUUGGAUGAGGCAAACCCUCAGGGACUUUGGCUACAAUCUGAGCAAAGUCCCACUCCUAUGUGAUAAUGAGAGUGCUAUCCGCAUGGCGGAAAAUCCUAUUGAACACAGCCGCACAAAGCACAUAGACAUCCGGCAUCACUUUUUGAGAGACCACCAGCAAAAGGGAGAUAUCGAAGUGUUUCAUGUUAGCACCGAGAACCAGCUAGCCGAUAUCUUUACCAAGCCUCUAGAUGAGAAGACCUUUUGCAGGUUGCGUAGUGAGCUAAAUAUUUUAGAUUCACGGAACUUGGAUUGAUUUGUAGCAUACAUGUGUUUAUGCCUUUGAUCAUGUUCCUUAUGCAUUUUGUUGCUUAAUAAUGGUGCUCAAGUUGUACAAACACUCCCUGGACCUCACAAGUCCUUUUUGCAAGUGAUGCACAUAUUUAGGGGGAGUUGUGCUACAACUUGACCCUUUGAGACUAACCAUGUGCUUGAGUUUGCUUGUUUUAGUCUUAAAGGAGGUUUGAAGGGGAAAAGGUGGACUUGGACCAUAAAAGACUUCCACUGCACUCCGAUGAGAGGGUAACUUAUUCCAAGUUCAUCUCAUGUCCUCUUAUUGCCCUUGUAUUCUUAUUGAAGAUUUUGGUGAGGCAAUGGGGUUCCCGGGCCAAGAUUCAUCCCGUUUUGGUGCUUGAUGCCAAAGGGGGAGAAAAUAAAGGCCAAAGCGAUAAAUGGAUCAGCUACCACUUGAGAGAUUUUGAAAAUAGUAGAAUAGAGCUUUUGGUUUGUCAAAACUCUUUUAUUGUCUCUCUUGUCAAAAGUUGGCUUCUUGUGGGGAGAAAUGUUGAUUAUGGGAAAAAGGGGAGUUUUUGAUUUCUUGAAUCAAUUUAUCUUGCAAUGACUCUCUAUGUCUUAACAUGUGUGUUUGACUUAGAGAUAGAAAUUUGAGUUUGAUUUGCAAAAACAAACCAAGUGGUGGCAAAGAGUGAUCCAUAUAUGUCAAGUUUUAAUCAAAACAAAUUUGAGUUUUAUUUGAAGUGAUUUUGCACUUGUUCUACUUGCUUUAUGUUAUGUUGGCAUAAAUCACCAAAAAGGGGGAGAUUGAAAGGGAAAUGUGCCCUUGGGCCAUUUCUAAGUAUUUUGGUGAUUGAGUGCCAACGCAAGUGCUUUUGUGUUGAUCUAUGCAAUGUGGUGGACAAAGUGCAAAUCAUGUCAAAAGGUAUGUUUCUAAACUUAGUACAUUAUUUUAUGGACUAAUGGGUUGUGUCUAAGUGCUGGAAACAGGAAAAAUCGAAUUGGAAAUGAGAUGGCUUUGUUCAGCCAAGUCUGCUCAGUCUGGGAGCACCAGACUGUCCGGUGGUGCACCGGACAGUGUCUGGUGCGCCAGGCUAGUUCGAGCGAAGUGGCCGCUCUCGGGAAUUCACUGGCGACGUACGACUAUAAUUCACCGGACUGUCCAGUGUGCACCGGACUGUCCGGUGAGGCAACGGUCGGCCGGGCCAACGGUCGGCCGCGCGAUCUGCACGGGACACGUGGCCGAGCCAACGGCUAGAAGGGGGCACCGGACUGUCCGGUGUGCACCGGACAUGUCCGGUGCGCCAACAGCUCUCUGGCUGCCAACGGUCGGCUGCGUCAGUUAAGGAAAGAAAUCGGGCACCGGACAGUGUCCGGUGUGCACCAGACUGUCCGGUGCGCCAGACGACAGAAGGCAAGAAUUGCCUUCCCAGAUUGCUCUCAACGGCUCCUGGCUGCCUUGGGGCUAUAAAGGGACCCCUAGGCGCAUGGAGGAGGACACCAAAGCAUACUCACAACAUUCCUAAGCACCAAGACAUCGAUUCCGCGCAUUUGUUUCUUUGUGAUAGCAUAUAGAGCUCUUGUGGAGUUGUGAACUCAUUGAGUUGUGUUGCGAGCUCUUGUUGCGACUUGUGUGCGUGUUGUUGCUCUGAUUUUUGAGUCUUGUGUGAGUUGCUCAUCCCUCCCUUACUCCGUGAUUCUUUGUGAACAUCAAAAGUGUAAGGGCGAGAGGCUCCAAGUUGUGGAGAUUCCUCGCAAACGGGAUAAGAAAAGAAAAGCAAAACACCGUGGUAUUCAAGUUGAUCAUUAGAUCACUUGAGAGGAGUUGAGUGCAACUCUCGUCCGUUGGGACGCCACAACGUGGAGUAGGCAAGCGUUGGUCUUGGCCGAACCACGGGAUAAACCACUGUGUCAUCUCUGUGAUUGUUCUCUUGUGGUUAUUGUGUUUUGCUAAGACUUCUCUCUAGCCACUUGGUGAUUAUUGUGCUAACACUUCACCAAGUUUUGUGGCUCAAGUUUUAAGUUUUACAGGAUCACCUAUUCACCCCCCCUCUAGGUGCUCUCAAUUGGUAUCGGAGCCGUUCUCUUCAAGAAAGGGACUAACUACCCGAAGAGAUGGAUCCUAAGGGGAAGGGAAUCGUGAUCAACGACAAGGAGAAGGAGUCCUUCGUCAACGAGCCGAAGGACGACAAGCCUACCGACUCGGGCUCGGGUCAUAGACGCAAAGAUGGGAAGAAGAAGAAGACAAGACGCAUCAAGGAGAUUGUCUACUACGACGACAGCGAUGAGUCCACUUCUUCCCAAAAGGACAACGACAACAACGACUGCGAGAGAAGGAAACCAGUUAAUUCAAACUUUUCUUUUGACUACUCUCGUAUUCCGCAAAGUACAAAUGCUCAUUUACUAUCCAUUCCACUUGGUAAACCUCCUCACUUUGAUGGAGAGGACUACGGAUUUUGGAGUCACAAAAUGCGUAGUCAUUUGUUCUCUCUCCAUCCGAGCAUAUGGGAGAUAGUUGAGAAUGGAAUGCAUUUUGAUAGUAAUGAUAGUCCCAUGUUUAUCAAUGAGCAAAUUCAUAAAAAUGCACAAGCUACUACUGUUCUUCUAGCUUCCUUGUGCAGGGAUGAAUACCACAAAGUGAGCGGCUUGGAUAACGCCAAGCAAAUUUGGGACACCCUCAAGAUCUCUCAUGAGGGGAAUGAUGUCACAAUGCUCACCAAGAUGGAGUUGGUGGAAGGCGAACUCGGGAGAUUCGCUAUGAUAAGGGGAGAAGAGCCAACUCAAACGUACAACCGGCUAAAGACCCUUGUCAACAAGAUAAGAAGCUAUGGAAGCACACGAUGGACGGACCACGACGUCGUCCGCCAAAUGCUAAGGUCUUUUACUGUCCUUGAUCCUCAUCUUGUAAACAAUAUUCGUGAGAAUCCUAGGUACAUCAAGAUGACGCCCGAGGAGAUACUUGGAAAGUUCGUAAGCGGGCGAAUGAUGAUCAAGGAAGCAAGAUACGUGGACGACGUAUUGAAUGGUCCAAUCAAUGAGCCUCAACCUCUUGCUCUCAAGGCAACAAGAAGCAAGGAGACGCUACCUAGCAAGGUGGCACAAAUUGAGGCGGCCGGACUUAACGAUGAAGAGAUGGCUCUCAUCAUCAAGAGAUUCAAGACGGCGCUAAAAGGUCGCAAGGGGCAGCCAAGCCAGACCAAGACAAAGGGGAAGCGCUCAUGCUUCAAAUGUGGUAAGCUUGGUCAUUUUAUUGCUAACUGUCCCGACAAUGAUAGUGAUCAGGAUCAAGGGAACAAGAGGGAGAAGAAGAAGAACUAUAAGAAGGCAAAGGGCGAGGCGCAUCUAGGCAAGGAGUGGGAUUCAGAUUGCUCCUCUUCCGACUCCGACAAUGAAGGACUCGCCGCCACCGCCUUCAACAAGUCAUCCCUCUUCCCCAACGAGCGUCACACAUGCCUUAUGGCAAGGGAGAAGAAGGUAUGUACUCGAAACUCUACUUAUGCUUCUUCAAGUGAGUACGAAUCUAGUGAUGAGGAUGAAAUAGAUUAUUCAUGUCUAUUUAAGGGCCUAGAUAGAACCAAGGUAGAUAAAAUUAAUGAAUUGAUUGAUGCCUUGAAUGAUAAGAAUAGGCUUUUAGAAAAACAAGAGGACUUGUUGUAUGAAGAACAUGACAAAUUUGUAGAAGCACAAAAAUCUCAUGCUCUAGAAGUUAAAAGAAAUGAAAUGCUUUCUUGUGAAUUAUCUUCUUGCCAUGAGACAAUUUCUAACUUAAGGAGCAUUAAUGAUGAUUUGAAUGCUAAGUUAGAAAUAGCUAGUAAAUCAACAUCUUGUGUAGAAAACGAUGUUAUUUGCAAUAGGUGUAAAGAUAUUGAUAUUGAUGCUUGUAGUGAACACAUAGCCUCUAUUGCAAAAUUAAAUGAUGAAGUUGCUAGUCUUAAUGCCCAACUUAAGACUAGCAAAAGUGAAUUUGACAAAUUAAAAUUUGCAAGGGAUGCCUACACAAUUGGGAGACACCCCUCAAUUAAGGAUGGUCUUGGCUUCAAGAGGGAAGUCAAGAACUUUACAAGCCAUAAGGCUUCCAUAUCCACACAGGAGAAAGGGAAGGCCCCUAUGGCGAGUAGUGCUAAAAAGAACCAUGCCUUCAUGUACCAUGAUAGAAAAUUUUCUAGAAAUGUUUAUGAUGAUAGGAGUUGUAAUGCUUAUAAUGCUUUUGACUCUCAUGCCAUGUUUGCUUCUAGUUCUUCCUAUAUGCAUGGUAGAAAUGUGUUUAGAAGAAAUGUUGUUCAUCAUAUGCCUAGGAGAAAUGUUGUCAAUAUUCCUAGGAAAGUUAAUGAACCUUCUACAAUUUAUCAUGCUUGUGAUGCUUCAUUUGCAAUUUGUAGAAAGGAUAGAAAGGUGAUUGCUAGGAAAUUAGGGGCAAAAUGCAAGGGAGAUAAAACUUGCAUUUGGGUCCCUAAGACAAUUGUGACUAACCUUGUAGGACCCAACAAGAGUUGGGUACCUAAGUCCCAAGCCUAAAUUUGCCUUGCAGGUUUAUGCAUCCGGGGGUUCAAGCUGGAUUAUCGACAGCGGAUGCACAAACCAUAUGACGGGGGAGAAGAAGAUGUUCACCUCCUACGUCAAAAACAAGGAUUCCCAAGAUUCAAUAAUUUUCGGUGAUGGGAACCAAGGCAAGGUAAACAGGUGGGAGGAGCACAUCACAGCAAGAAUGUGAUGACCACAUCAAGGCCUCUGGAGCUGCUACAUAUGGACCUCUUUGGACCCGUCGCUUAUCUAAGCAUAGGGGGAAGUAAGUAUGGUUUAGUUAUUGUGGAUGACUUUUCCCGCUUCACUUGGGUAUUCUUAUUGCAGGAUAAGUCUGAGACCCAAGGAACCCUCAAGCGCUUCCUAAGGAGAGCUCAAAAUGAGUUUGAGCUCAAGAUAAAGAAGAUAAGGAGCAACAACGGGUCUGAGUUCAAGAACCUUCAAGUGGAGGGGUUCCUUGAGGAGGAAGGGAUCAAGCACGAGUUCUCCGCCCCCUACACACCACAACAAAAUGGUGUGGUAGAGAGGAAGAACAGGACGCUCAUCGAUAUGGCGAGGACAAUGCUUGGAGAGUUCAAGACCCCCGAGUGUUUUUGGUCGGAAGCCAUGAACACGGCUUGCCAUGCCAUCAACAGGGUCUACCUUCAUCGCCUCCUCAAGAAGACGUCGUAUGAGCUGCUAACCGGUAACAAACCCAAUGUGUCGUACUUUCGUGUAUUUGGGAGUAAAUGCUACAUUCUAGUGAAGAAGGGUAGAAAUUCUAAGUUUGCUCCCAAAGCUGUAGAAGGGUUUUUGUUAGGUUAUGACUCAAAUACAAAGGCGUAUAGGGUCUUCAACAAAUCAUCGGGUUUGGUUGAAGUCUCUAGCGACGUUGUAUUUGAUGAGACUAAUGGCUCUCCAAGAGAGCAAGUUGUUGAUCUUGAUGAUGUAGAUGAAGAAGAUGUUCCGACGGCCGCUAUAAGAACCAUGGCGAUUGGUGAAGUACGACCACAGGAACAAGAGGAGCAAGAUCAACCUUCUUCCUCAACUAUGGUGCAUCCCCCAACUCAAGACGAUGAACAGGUUCAUCAACAGGAGGCGUGUGAUCAAGGGGGAGCACAAGAUGAUCAUGUGAUGGAGGAAGAAACUCAACCGGCACCUCCAACCCAAGUUCGAGCGAUGAUUCAAAGGGAUCAUCCCGUCGACCAAAUUCUGGGUGAUAUUAGCAAGGGAGUAACUACUCGAUCUCGAUUAGUUAAUUUUUGUGAGCAUUACUCCUUUGUCUCUUCUAUUGAGCCUUUCAGGGUAGAAGAGGCCUUGCUAGAUCCGGACUGGGUGUUGGCCAUGCAAGAGGAGCUUAACAACUUCAAGAGAAACGAAGUUUGGACGCUGGUGCCUCGUCCUAAGCAAAAUGUUGUGGGAACCAAGUGGGUGUUCCGCAACAAACAAGACGAGCACGGAGUGGUGACGAGGAACAAGGCUCGACUUGUGGCAAAAGGUUAUGCCCAAGUCGCAGGUUUGGACUUUGAGGAGACUUUUGCUCCUGUGGCUAGGCUAGAGUCCAUUCGUAUUUUGCUAGCAUAUGCCGCUCACCAUUCUUUCAGGUUGUUCCAAAUGGAUGUGAAGAGCGCUUUCCUCAACGGGCCAAUCAAGGAGGAGGUGUACGUGGAGCAACCCCCUGGCUUCGAGGAUGAACGGUACCCCGACCAUGUGUGUAAGCUCUCUAAGGCGCUCUAUGGACUUAAGCAAGCCCCAAGAGCAUGGUAUGAAUGCCUUAGAGACUUUCUAAUUGCUAAUGCUUUCAAGGUUGGGAAAGCCGAUCCAACUCUUUUCACUAAGACUUGUGACGGUGAUCUUUUUGUGUGCCAAAUUUAUGUCGAUGACAUAAUAUUUGGUUCUACUAAUAAAAAGUCUUGUGAAGAGUUUAGCAGGGUGAUGACGCAGAAAUUCGAGAUGUCGAUGAUGGGCGAGUUGAACUACUUCCUUGGGUUCCAAGUGAAGCAACUCAAGGACGGCACCUUCAUCUCCCAAACGAAGUACACGCAAGACUUGCUAAAGCGGUUUGGGAUGAAGGACGCCAAGCCCGCAAAGACUCCGAUGGGAACCGACGGACACACCGACCUCAACAAAGGAGGUAAGUCCGUUGAUCAAAAAGCAUACCGGUCAUUGAUAGGAUCGUUACUUUACUUAUGUGCUAGUAGACCGGAUAUUAUGCUUAGCGUAUGCAUGUGUGCUAGAUUUCAAUCCGAUCCUAAGGAGUGUCACUUAGUGGCGGUGAAGCGAAUUCUUAGAUAUUUAGUUGCUACGCCUUGCUUCGGGAUCUGGUAUCCAAAGGGGUCUACCUUUGACUUAAUCGGAUAUUCAGAUUCUGACUAAGCUGGAUGUAAGGUCGAUAGGAAGAGUACAUCGGGGACGUGCCAAUUCUUAGGAAGGUCCCUGGUGUCAUGGAACUCCAAGAAACAAACUUCCGUUGCCCUAUCCACCGCUGAGGCCGAGUAUGUUGCCGCAGGACAGUGUUGCGCGCAACUACUUUGGAUGAGGCAAACCCUCAGGGACUUUGGCUACAAUCUGAGCAAAGUCCCACUCCUAUGUGAUAAUGAGAGUGCUAUCCGCAUGGCGGAAAAUCCUGUUGAACACAGCCGCACAAAGCACAUAGACAUCCGGCAUCACUUUUUGAGAGACCACCAGCAAAAGGGAGAUAUCGAAGUGUUUCAUGUUAGCACCGAGAACCAGCUAGCCGAUAUCUUUACCAAGCCUCUAGAUGAGAAGACCUUUUGCAGGUUGCGUAGUGAGCUAAAUGUCUUAGAUUCGCGGAACUUGGAUUGAUUUGUAGCAUACAUGUGUUUAUGCCUUUGAUCAUGUUCCUUAUGCAUUUUGUUGCUUAAUAAUGGUGCUCAAGUUGUACAAACACUCCCCGGACCUCACAAGUCCUUUUUGCGAGUGAUGCACAUAUUUAGGGGGAGCUGUGCUACAACUUGACCCUUUGAGACUAACCAUGUGCUUGAGUUUGCUUGUUUUAGUCUUAAAGGAGGUUUGAAGGGGAAAAGGUGGACUUGGACCAUAAAAGACUUCCACUGCACUCCGAUGAGAGGGUAACUUAUUCCAAGUUCAUCUCAUGUCCUCUUAUUGCCCUUGUAUUCUUAUUGAAGAUUUUGGUGAGGCAAUGGGGUUCCCGGGCCAAGAUUCAUCCCGUUUUGGUGCUUGAUGCCAAAGGGGGAGAAAAUAAAGGCCAAAGCGAUAAAUGGAUCAGCUACCACUUGAGAGAUUUUGAAAAUAGUAGAAUAGAGCUUUUGGUUUGUCAAAACUCUUUUAUUGUCUCUCUUGUCAAAAGUUGGCUUCUUGUGGGUAGAAAUGUUGAUUAUGGGAAAAAGGGGAGUUUUUGAUUUCUUGAAUCAAUUUCUCUUGCAAUGACUCUCUUUAUGUCUUAACAUGUGUGUUUGACUUAGAGAUAGAAAUUUGAGUUUGAUUUGCAAAAACAAACCAAGUGGUGGCAAAAGAGUGAUCCAUAUAUGUCAAGUUUUAAUCAAAACAAAUUUGAGUUUUAUUUGAAGUGAUUUUGCACUUGUUCUACUUGCUUUAUGUUAUGUUGGCAUAAAUCACCAAAAAGGGGGAGAUUGAAAGGGAAAUGUGCCCUUGGGCCAUUUCUAAGUAUUUUGGUGAUUGAGUGCCAACGCAAGUGCUUUUGUGUUGAUCUAUGCAAUGUGGUGGACAAAGUGCAAAUCAUGUCAAAAGGUAUGUUUCUAAACUUAGUACAUUAUUUUAUGGACUAAUGGGUUGUGUCUAAGUGCUGGAAACAGGAAAAAUCAAAUUGGAAAUGAGAUGGCUUUGUUCAGCCAAGUCUGCUCAGUCUGGGAGCACCGGACUGUCCGGUGGUGCACCGGACAAUGUCCGGUGCGCCAGGCUGGUUCGAGCGAAGUGGCCGCUCUCGGGAAUUCACUGGCGACGUACGGCUAUAAUUCACCGGACUGUCCGGUGUGCACCGGACUGUCCGGUGAGGCAACGGUCGGCCGGGCCAACGGUCGGCCGCGCGAUCUGCGCGGGACACGUGGCCGAGCCAACGGCUAGAAGGGGGCACCGGACUGUCCGGUGUGCACCGGACAUGUCCGGUGCGCCAACGGCUCUCUGGCUGCCAACGGUCGGCUGCGUCAGUUAAGGAAAGAAAUCGGGCACCGGACAGUGUCCGGUGUGCACCGGACUGUCCGGUGCGCCAGACGGCAGAAGGCAAGAAUUGCCUUCCCAGAUUGCUCUCAACGGCUCCUGGCUGCCUUGGGGCUAUAAAAGGGACCCCUAGGCGCAUGGAGGAGGACACCAAAGCAUACUCACAACAUUCCUAAGCACCAAGACAUCGAUUCCGCGCAUUUGUUUCUUUGUGAUAGCAUAUAGAGCUCUUGUGGAGUUGUGAACUCAUUGAGUUGUGUUGCGAGCUCUUGUUGCGACUUGUGUGCGUGUUGUUGCUCUGAUUUUUGAGUCUUGUGUGAGUUGCUCAUCCCUCCCUUACUCCGUGAUUCUUUGUGAACAUCAAAAGUGUAAGGGCGAGAGGCUCCAAGUUGUGGAGAUUCCUCGCAAACGGGAUAAGAAAAGAAAAGCAAAACACCGUGGUAUUCAAGUUGAUCAUUAGAUCACUUGAGAGGAGUUGAGUGCAACUCUCGUCCGUUGGGACGCCACAACGUGGAGUAGGCAAGCGUUGGUCUUGGCCGAACCACGGGAUAAACCAUUGUGCCAUCUCUGUGAUUGUUCUCUUGUGGUUAUUGUGUUUUGCUAAGACUUCUCUCUAGCCACUUGGUGAUUAUUGUGCUAACACUUCACCAAGUUUUGUGGAUCAAGUUUUAAGUUUUACAGGAUCACCUAUUCACCCCCCUCUAGGUGCUCUCAGAACCCUUCGGGGGCCAGCCUUCGAACCCCUGAUCAGUAGUGGGCGCGGAGCCCGAGUAGCCUGAGGCGGCCGUUGAACCCUUCCGAGGGGACGGCCUUCGAACCUCUGACCAGUAGUGGGUGUGGAGCCCACGUGCUCUGAGGCGGCUAUUGAACCCUUCCGAGAGGCCAGCCUUCGAACCCCUGAUCAGUAGGGAGGCUCGGAGCCUGGUUCCUUCACGGGGAAGGAUCCUUUUCGGGGUAUCCCCCUUUCCCGGUCCCUGUUGCAAGAGAGAGAAAGAGGAAAAAAGGAAAAGCAUACGAAAUUGAACGACGCGACGUACCUUUUCUGACGCGGUCAUUAUGGCGAAGGCGAAGCGUCGCCCGCUUCUCCUGCCAGAGGCGCCGCCUGUCCCGCCGCGGAGUUAAUGCGACGGGGCGAGUGGUUCGCGGGGCGGCUGUUGCGCGUGCGCGAGCUGUUCGAGGAAUGGAACACGGGCGUGUUGUUUUCACGCCGUGAGAGAGGGUUCUCUCGUCGCCCCUGGAUGGGACGUAGGCUCAGCUGACGACGUGACCGCUGCUCCUGCCCGCCUACCACCGUCAUUACUGCCGGCCCAUUUUUGGCCGUAUUGACCGUCGCGCCAGGCUGGCGCUGCUAGGUCGUGCACUGGGUCGCCUCGAGUCGCGGUAUUGGUUCCGUAGUCGAGGAGGCGCGGUGGUGGCGCAGGUGGCGGUGCGGCUGCAUGCACGAAGCAUUCGGCGCGCCAGUUGCAUGACGCGUGGGCCUGGGCCUCCAUGCCGGGCGUGUUGGGAGUCGGAGAAGUGCGCCCACUUGGCGCGGUUGCAUGCUGCCUGCAUGGCUGCCCGCCCUUUCGCCUGCUGGUCUGGGCCAAAGUGGAGGGCCGCUUGUAACCGCUGGGCGGUUGUACGCACCGCGCACGGCGGUUUGGCUUCUUCUGCUCUGAGCCGGCUUGCAUGACGUGUGGGACCCAGCCCCCGCGCCGUAGGGGAGGACCUUGGAGUGUGUUGGAGAAGACUCAGCCCACGACGGCUGGGGACGCAAGUAGGGAGAGUCGCCUUUAAAAGGAGGGUGACCCCCUUUGGAAGGCGACCAUGUCUUCGCGCUCCCUUAUGCAUCGUGUCUUUCCACCUUUCAAGCCCCCGGAUGGGGGAUACCCGCCGUCUUUCCGCCUCGUCGUUGGAGGAACGCAACUCCGUGGGAGUUGGUACCUUUCAGCCAUCGUUCGGCUUCAAGGAUUUUCAUCAUGCAGCCCGGUUGCACCCCUCCACCGGCGGUCACCCAAGAUGGUGACCUCCAGUUCGACGGCGGGGGAAAGCAAACUGGGCCGCGGCCUCUGCCCCUCCCUCAGCCUCAAGGAUUUUCAUCACCAGAGCUGGGGAGGGGAGUGUGUCGAGUCGGGGUCGGCCCCUAUGUGGGCGGCGGCCCGCUCCUUCCCUCAGUGAUUGGGGGGAAGGGCGGUUGUUGUCCGUGGCGCUGUCAGCUGCCGCGUGCCUAGCUCUCGGACGCGAGUGGCUUCGGAGCCGCUCUCGGCGCCGGCUCCUGCCACGGCAGCUGGAAGAGGUUCUUCCGCCGACGAGAUAGCCAGGGCCGCCCACGGACCGACCUCCAACUCUACGGCCUUCUGCCCGUCCUUGCCUCACGAGUUUGGGCAUGGGCGGGGGCCUCCUGGCAGCAGCAUCCGCCCUAAGGUCAUCGCUGCCGCUGUUUGGCCCCCCGGAGCAGAAGUCGUCGUCGUCGCCGCUGCCGGAGCGGGCGACGGCGUGCCGUUCGUUGGUCUUCUGUUGCUCCGCAGGCCCCCCCAUCGAGUGGGGUUGUUCGUACCUGCGGAGGUGGAACCGGAGUUCCGUUUGUAAUGGCACUUUGAAUGCCAGUGUUUUUGUUCAUUGUGGCUGUCGAGGCCCGAACAUGUAUGUAAUUUCGGCACGGAGCCGUGUUUUUUCCUCAUUUUCGAGCACUAAGACUCGCCUGUUGGUUGUCUGAACCGCUUUACCAAGCGUGAGUCGCCCCGUGUAAAGGUGACGAGUGAGGUAUCCGUAUCCCGGAGGCGUAGGAGUCCCUCGGCUCGGUCAGCCUUAUUGUCCGAGGCUUCCCUUGCUUAGUUAGAGGAACCCCUCGGCCGCUCUUCAAUGAGCCGAGGCCAGGGGUAGCGGUGUCAGCGCGAACAAAGGCAGAGUUGGCUCGAAAAGAAGAUCUGGUCGGCCGGAGCCUGGCCGGGUCGUCUGUUGGCGGGAUCGACGCCGGAAAUGAACUGCCAAGGCCUCGGGGCGGGCUGAUGUCCUCGGAGGACAGCUGGCCGAGGCCCCGGGGUGAUCGACCGAGCCGCCUGCUCGGGCCGGAUUCUCGGAGAAGACCCUGGCGACGGUGGCCCAGGCUUGGUGAUGACGUCGUCCUUCAGAGUGGAGAUCUUCGGACUGCGUCGCCGUCCGAGGCUAGGUCGGACCUCGCCGAAGGUGUUGUCGAUGCCGAGGGUGCUGCUGCUCCCUUCAAGCGUCAGGAUCCGAGCCUGCAGGAUCAGAUUGUCUUGUAGCGUGUGUUUCCUGUGGCCGCUGAGGCCAAAACACACCCUCGCCGUGUUGUAAAGCUGCGUCUCUUUUCCUCUUGUUUCGAGUACCCGAACUUUUUUGUCGGUAACAGAAUUGUUUGUGCGAGCGAGAGUUGCUUCUCACGGAAGGUGAUGAGUGAGGUAUCUGUAUCCCGGAGGCGUAGGAGUCCCUCGGCUCGGUCGACCUUGCCGCUUAUGCGCACUCCUACCCGUCCAUGGGGUUCUGUCACCGACGCAGUUGAGGAGGCUCGAAGAAUCGCUCCGGCAGAAGAGCUUCCGAGCGUGUAGACUUGUUCGGUCCGCGGAAUCACUUAUCCGAACGUGAGUUACUUAUCGCAGAAGGUGAUGAGUGAGGUAUCCGUAUCCCGGAGGCAUAGGAGUCCCUCGGCUCGGUCAGCCUUGGCUGCUUACGUGUACUCCGUCGUUUUCAGGAUCCACUUUCGAAGUAGUCAAAAAGCACGAAAGACAUUCUGGCAGAAAAGAUUUUUUUGGAGGAAAAUUUCGACGCAGAGGGGUUCCCCCCUUUUAGCCUCCGAGGGGGGGUCGGGCUUUGCCGAGGCAAGGCUGACCCUUCCUUGAUGACUAAACUUUGCGUGGGAGCGAGGUAUAUGAACAACUUGAAAACAUCUUAAGGGUAGAAGCGACGUAGUUGUUGGAUGUUCCAAGCGUUGUUGUAGACCUCGCCUUGACUAUUGGCCAGCUUGUACGUUCUGGGCUUCAGAACUUUGGCGAUGACAAACAGCCCCUCCCAGGGGGGCGUGAGCUUGUGCCACCCUCGGGCGUCUUGUCACAGCCGAAGCACCAGGUCGCCCACCUGGAGGUCUCGGGACCGGACCCCUCGGGCGUGGUAGCGUCGCAGGGACUGCUGGUACCGCGCCGAGUGUAGUAAGGCCUUGUCCCGAGCCUCUUCCAGCUGGUCCAGCGAGUCUUCUCGACUAGCUUGGUUGCUUUGGCUGGCAUAGGCCCUUGUCCUCGGGGAGCCGUAUUCCAGGUCUGUGGGCAAGACGGCCUCGGCCCCAUAGACUAGAAAGAACGGCGUGAAGCCCGUGGCUCGGCUCGGCAUUGUCCUCAGGCUCCAAACCACCGAGGGGAGUUCCUUCAUCCAUCGCUUGCCGAACUUGUUGAGGUCGUUGUAGAUCCGAGGCUUGAGCCCUUGUAGAAUCAUGCCGUUGGCACGCUCUACUUGCCCAUUUGACAUGGGGUGAGCUACGGCGGCCCAGUCCACCCGGAUGUGGUGAUCCUCGCAGAAGGCCAGGAACUUUCUGCCGGUGAACUGGGUGCCGUUGUCGGUGAUGAUGGAGUUCGGGACCCCGAAACGAUGGAUGAUGUUGGUGAAGAACGCCACCGCCUGCUCGGACCUGAUGCUGUUUAGGGGUCGGACCUCGAUCCACUUGGAGAAUUUGUCGAUGGCGACCAACAGGUGCGAGUAGCCCCCGGGUGCCUUCUGCAAGGGGCCGACGAGGUCCAGACCCCACAUAGCAAAAGGCCAGGUGAUGGGUAUCGUCUGCAGAGCCUAAGCGGGCAGGUGGGCCUGCCUUGCGUAGAACUGACACCCUUCGCAGGCGCGGACAAUUCUGGUGGCGUCGGCCACCGCCGUGGGCCAGUAGAAGCCUUGUUGGAAGGCAUUCCCGACAAGGGCUCGAGGCGCUGCGUGAUGGCCGCAAGCCCCCGAGUGUAUCUCUCGCAGGAGUUCCUGACCUUCGGCGAUGGAGAUGCAUCGCUGGAGGAUGCCGGAGGGGCUGCGGUGGUAGAGCUCCUUCUCAUCUCCCAGCAUGACGAACGACUUGGCGCGCCGCGCCACCCGCCGAGCUUCGGCUCGGUCGGAGGGUAGCUCUCCUCGGUGGAGAUAUUGCAGGUACGGGGUCUGCCAGUUUUGAUCAGGCGUGACCCCGUUUUGCUCCCCCUCGACGCGCAGCGCCUCGCCCUCGGGGGCCGAGGGUACCUCGGGCCGAACCGAGGGUGCCUCGGGCCGAGCCGAGGGUGCCCCGGAUUGUGCCGAGGGCGCCUCAGGCUCGGGCGUGUCGUCGAUCUUGACGGAGGGUUGAUGCAGAUCUCGGGAGAAGACGUUCGGGGGAACUGCUGUUCGCCCCGAGGCUAUUUUAGCCAGCUCGUCCGCAGUCUCGUUGUAGCGCCGAGCGAUGUGGUUGAGCUCGAGCCCGUAGAACUUGUCUUCCAGGCGCCAAACCUCAUCGCAAUAGGCCUCCAUCUUCGGGUCGCGACAGUGGGAGUUCUUCAUGACUUGGUCGAUGACGAGCUGCGAGUCACCGCGAGCGUCGAGGCGUCGGACCCCUAGCUCGAUGGCGAUUCGCAACCCGUUGACCAGAGCCUCAUACUCGACCACAUUGUUGGACGCCGGGAAAUGGAGGCGUAGCACAUAGCGUAUGUGCUUGGCGAGGGGCGAGAUGAAGAGUAGGCCUGCGUUGGCUCCUGUCUUCAUCAACGACCCGUCGAAGAACAUGGUCCAGAGCUCCGGUUGGAUCGGAGCCGUUGGUAGCUGGGUGUCGACCCAUUCGGCCACGAAGUCUGCCAGGACCUGGGACUUGAUGGCCUUCCGAGGGGCGAACGAGAUUGCUUCGCCCAUGAUUUCCACCACCCACUUUGCGAUUCUACCCGAGGCCUCUCGGCACUGGAUGAUCUCCCCCAGGGGGAAGGACGACACCACAGUUACCGGAUGAGACUCAAAGUAGUGUCGCAGCUUCCGCCGCGUUAGGAUCACCGCGUACAGCAGCUUCUGAACUUGUGGGUAGCGGAUCUUGGUUUCAGACAGUACCUCGCUGAUGAAGUAGACUGGCCUUUGAACGGGCAAUGCAUGCCCCUCUUCUUGCCUCUCGACCAUGAUCGCGGCGCUAACCACCUGAGUGGUCGCGGCGACGUAGACCAAGAGGGCUUCUCCGACAGCUGGGGGCACCAAGAUAGGCGCCUUCGUGAGGAGCGCCUUCAGGUUCCCGAGGGCUUCCUCGGCCUCAGGGGUCCAAGUGAAGCACUCGGCCUUCCUUAAAAGGCGGUACAGAGGUAGACCUCUUUCGCCGAGGCAUGAGAUGAAGCGGCUCAGAGCCGCGAGACAUCCCAUGACCCUCUGUACGCCUUUCAAGUCCUUGAUGGGCCCCAUGCCGGUGAUGGCUGCGAUCUUCUCCGGGUUGGCUUCGAUGCCCCGCUCGGAGACGAUGAACCCCAAGAGUAUGCCUCGAGGCACCCCGAAGACACACUUUUCGGGAUUGAGCUUGACGCCUUUCGCCUUGAGACAUCGGAAUGUCACUUCAAGGUCGGAAAGGAGGUCGAAGGCUUUCCUCGUCUUGACUAUGAUGUCAUCGACGUAGGCCUCGACCGUGCGGCCAAUGUGUUCGCCGAACACAUGGUUCAUGCACCGCUGGUACGUCGCGCCCGCAUGCCUCAAGCCGAACGACAUGGUGACAUAGCAGUACAUGCCGAAGGGUGUGAUGAAAGAAGUCGCGAGCUGGUCGGACUCUUUCAUCCUGAUUUGGUGAUACCCUGAGUAGGCAUCGAGGAAAGACAGGGUUUCGCACCCAGCAGUGGAAUCCACGAUUUGGUCGAUGCGAGGCAGAGGGUAGGGAACCUUCGGACAUGCUUUGUUCAGACCAGUGUAGUCUACACACAUCCACAUUUCCCCCCUUUCUUUCUCACAAGCACAGGGUUGGCAAGCCAUUCGGGAUGGAAUACCUCUUUGAUGAACCCUGCCGCCAUUAGCUUGUGGAUCUCCUCGCCUAUGGCUCUGCGCUUCUCCUCGUCGAAUCGGCGCAGAGGCUGCUUGACGGGUCGGGCUCCGGCUCGGAUCUCUAGCGAGUGCUCGGCGACAUCCCUCGGUAUGUCGGGCAUGUCCGAGGGACUCCACGCGAAGACGUCGGCGUUCACGCGGAGAAAGUCGACGAGCACUGCUUCCUAUUUGGGAUCGAGGCCGGAGCCGAUCCGGAUCUGCUUGGAGGCGUCGCCGCUGAGGUCAAGGGGGACGGCCUUAACCGUCUCCGCUGGCUCAAAGUUGCCGGCAUGACGCUUCACGUCUGACACCUCCUUAGAGAGGCUCUCCAGGUCGGCGAUGAGGGUCUCGGACUCGACGAGGGCCUCGACAUAUUCCACGCACUCCACGUCGCAUUCGAAUGCGUGUUUGUACGUGGGGCCGACGGUGAUGACCCCGUUGGGGCCUGGCAUCUUGAGCUUCAGGUAGGUGUAGUUGGGGACGACCAUGAACUUCGUGUAGCAUGGUCUUCCCAGUACCGCGUGGUAGGUUCCUCGAAACCCGACCACCUCGAACGUCACGGUCUCCCUUCGGAAGUUGGAGGGUGUUCCGAAGCAGACGGGAAGGUCGAGUUGUCCGAGGGGCUGGACGCGCUUCUCGGGAAUGAUCCCAUGGAAGGGCGCAGCGCCUGCCCGGACGGAGGACCGAUCGACACGCAGGAGCCCGAGGGUCUCGGCGUAGAUGAUGUUGAGGCUGCUGCCUCCGUCCAUGAGGACCUUGGUGAGCCUGACGUCGCCGAUGACGGGGUCGACGAUGAGCGGGUAUUUCCCCAGGCUCGGCACAUGGUCGGGGUGGUCGGCUUGGUCGAAGGUGAUGGGCUUGUCGGACCAGUCUAGGUAGACUGGCGGCGCCACCUUCACCGAACAGACCUCCCGGCGCUCUUGCUUGCGGUGCCGAGCCGAGGCAUUCGCCGCUUGCCUACCGUAGAUCAUGAAGCAGUCGCGGACCUCGGGGAACUCUCCUGCCUGGUGAUCUUCCUUCUUAUCGGCGUCGUGGGCCCUGCCACCCUCCGCGGGUAGCCCGGCCCUGUGGAAGUGGCGCCGAAGCAUGACACACUCCUCAAGGGUGUGCUUGACGGGCCCCUGGUGAUAGGGGCACGGCUCCUUGAGCAUCUUGUCGAAGAGGUUGGCACCUCCGGGGGGUUUCCGAGGGUUCUUGUACUCGGCGGCAGCGACAAGGUCUGCGUCGGCGGCGUCGCGUUUCGCUUGCGACUUCUUCUUGCCCUUCUUCUUGGCGCCGCGCUGAGUUGACGCCUCGGGGGCAUCUUCCGAUGGGGCGGCCCUGGGGCUGCUUGUCCUUCCGGAAGAUAGCCUCGACCGCCUCCUGGCUGGAGGCGAACUUGGUGGCGAUGUCCAUCAGCUCGCUCGCCCUGGUGGGGGUCUUGCGACCCAGCUUGCCCACCAGUUAGCGGCAGGUGGUGCCAGCGAGGAACGCGCCGAUGACAUCCGAGUCGGUGAUGUUGGGCAGCUCGGUGCGCUGCUUCGAGAAUCGCCGGAUGUAGUCCCGGAGAGACUCUCUCGGCUGAUGUCGGCAGCUUCGGAGGUCCCAGGAAUUUCCGGGGCGCACGUACGUGCCCUGGAAAUUGCCGACGAAAGCUUGGACUAGGUCGUCCCAGUUGGAGAUCUACCCCAGAGGCAGGUGCUCCAACCAGGCGCGAGCGGUGUCGGAGAGAAACAGGGGGAGGUUACGGAUGAUGAGGUUGUCAUCGUCCGUUCCACCCAGUUGGCAGGCCAGACGGUAGUCCGCGAGCCACAGUUCCGGUCUCGUCUCCCCCGAGUACUUUGUGAUAGUAGUCGGGGGUCGGAACCGGGUCGGGAACGGCGCCCAUCGUAUGGCCCGGCUGAAGGCCUGCGGACCGGGUGGUUCGGGCGAGGGGCUCCGAUCCUCUCCGCUGUCAUAGCGUCCCCCACGCCUAGGGUGGUAGCCUCGGCGCACCCUCUCGUCGAGGUGGGCUCGACGGUCGCGGUGAUGGUGCUCGUUGCCGAGGCGACCCGGGGCCGCAGGCGCUGUGUUGCGCGUGCGCCCGGUGUAGACCGAGGCUUCCCGCAUGAAUCGGGAAGUCGCGGCAUGAGGUUCCGAGGGGUACCCCUGCCUUCGGGAGGCGGAGCUCUCGGCCCGUCGGAUCGCGGCGCCUUCCAGGAGAUUCUUGAGCUCUCCCUGGAUUCGCCGCCCCUCGGUGGUUGAUGGCUCCGGCAUCGCGCGGAGGAGCAUUGCUGCUGCAGCCAGGUUCUGGCCGACCCCACUAGAUGCGGGUGGCGGCCUGAACCUGACGUCGUCGGCGACGCGGUGCUGAAAGCCCUGAGGUAGAUGACGUAUUUCUCCAGCGGGAGGUUGGGCCACCCGUGCCUGCCCGACGUCCCGGCGGAUCGGCUCAAGCGCUCCUACUCCCUCGUCGAGCCUGGCCUGCACCCCGCGGAUUUGCUCAAGCUGUGGGUCAUGGCCCCCCGCCUGAACGGGGACCACAGCUAGCUCCCGUGGGAUGUCAACGCGAGGCACCGGCCUAGGGAGAUCACCGUCCUCCGGCAUGCCGAGAUGGUUGCCUUCGGAGGGACCCCCUAGAUCGACGUGGAAACAUUCACGGCUUGGGCCGCAGUCCUCGUCGCCGAGGCUACGACUACCGUCGGAACAGUCGGAAAGGCAAUAGUCGCAUGCGGUCAUGAAGUCCCGCAUGGCACUGGGGUUGCCAAGUCCAGAGAAAUCCCAACAGAAGCUGGGCUCGUCGUCUUCCUCGGACCCAGAGGGCCCGUAGGUCGAGACGUCCGUCAGCCGGUCCCAAGGUGACCGCAUACGAAACCCCAGAGGGUUUGGACUCGCCUCUACGAGAGCACCCGCCAAAGCGAAGUCGCUAGGCGGGUUGAGGCUGAAUCCGAAAGACGUGGGAUGGGAAUCAGUCAGUACCUCUUGGUCGACGAGCGGUGAUGAAGUCACGUCGGGGACUGUCUGCACCGUCGUUUCAGGUACGAGGGUGACACCCAGCAAGCCUUCCGCGAGCGUGCUGGCGUCGUCCGUUUGCUCGGGAUUGGCAUGUUGCGGGGAGACGGCGCUCGUCUUCGUCUCAAGCGCGAGGUCGAUGCCCGGUGCGCCCCCCGUUGGGGUGCUGGCGCUAUUGACUCGCUCGAUAGCCGACGAGGCGCUGCCUCCUGCUUGGCCUUGGUUGCCCCGCCUUCCCCUCCGUCGAUGGGGAAGAGGGCGGGAUGAGCUCGAAGGUUGUUCUUCCACCACGCGGGGAAGACGUCGUCGAUUCCGCCGCCGGCGGGCGGGCUGUCGGCCGUCAUUGUCGCUGUCGCCCGGCGGUGGAAUAAGUAUCAUGUCGUAGCUGCCGUCGAGGGACAUGAACUCAAGACUCCCGAAACGGAGCAUCGUCCCGGGUUGGGGAGGUUGCUGGAGACUGCCCAUCUGGAGCUUGACGGGAAGCUGUUAGUCAACACGCAGCAGGCCCCUACCUGGCGCGCCAACUGUCUGCGUUUCGAGACCGGGGGGUCCCUAAGCCGACGAGUGAAUGUCGCCGCGUGCCCCAGCCCAGAUGGGUCGACGCGAGGCCGAGCGUGAAGGGGGGAAGUGAGGUGGCCAGAGAUGGGCGUGAGAGAGGUGGAAAUCCCGCGGCCUUCGUGUUCGUCCCGCGCCCAGGUCGGGUGCGCUUGCAGUAGGGGGUUACAAGCGUCCACGCGGGAGAGGGAGCGAGCGGCUCCAAGCGAGCGCCUAUCUCGUCCCCGCGCAGCCAACCCUCUCUAAGAGGGCCCUGGUCCUUCCUUUUAUAGGCGUAAGGAGAGGAUCCAGGUGUACAAUGGGGGGUAUAGCAGAGUGCUACGUGUCUAGCAGAGGAGAGCUAGCGCCCUAAGUACAUGCCGUCGUGGCAGCCGGAGAGAUUUUGGCACCCAGCUGGUGUGAUGUCGUGGCCGUCGGAGGAGUGCUGGAGCCUGGCGGAGGGACAGCUGUCGGAGCUGUUGAGUCCUUGCUGACGUCCUCUUGCUUCCGUAAGGGGGCUGAGAGCCGCCGUCGUCACAGAGUAUGUGGGGCGCCAUCGUUGCCUAUCUGGCGGAGCGAGCCAGAUGGGACGCCAGUCUUGAUCCCCGUGGCCCGAGUCAGCUCGGGGUAGGGUGAUGAUGACGCCUCCUGUUGACGUGGCUGGUCUACGCCCUAGGUUGGGCGAUGUGGAAGCUCCUCCGAAGCCGAGAUCGAGUCUGUCUUUCAUGGUCGAGGUCGAGUCCGAGCCCCUGGUUCGGGCGAGGCGGAGACCGUCGGCUGAGGCCAGGGCGGAGUCCGAGCCCUGGGGUUGGGCGGAGCGGAGUUCGUCGUCUUCUGGGGCUGAGCCCAAGUCCGAGCCCUGGGUCGGGCGGAGCGGAGUUCGUCGUCUUCCGGGGCUGAGCCCGAGUCCGAGCCCUGGGUCGGGCGGAGCGGAGUUCGUCGUCUUCCAGGGCUGAGCCCGAGUCCGAGCCCUGGAUCGGGUGGAGCGGAGUUCGCCGUCUUCCGGGGCUUAGCCCAAGUCCGAGCCCUGGGUCGGGCGGAGCGGAGUUCGCCGUCUUCCGGGGCUUAGCCCGAGUCCGAGCCCUGGGUCGGGCGAAGCGGAGCUUCCUAUGGUGCCUGCGGCCGGGCCUGACUGCCUGUCAGCCUCACUCUGUCAAGUGGCACUGCAGUCGGAGCGGCGCAGGCGACGCUGCCUUUCUGUCAGACCGGCCAGUGGAGCGGCGAAGUGACGGCGGUCACUUCGGCUCUGUCGGCUGGGGGGCGCGCGUCAGGAUAAAGGUGUCAGGCCACCUUUGCAUUAAAUGCUCCUGCGAUUUGGUCGGUCGGUGCGGCGAUUUGGUCAGGGUUGCUUCUUGGCGAAGACAGGGCCUCGGGCGAGCCGGAAAUAUGUUCGCCGCUGGAGGGGGCCUCGGGCGAGACGGAGAUCCUCCGGGGUCGGCUGCCCUUGUCCGAGGCUAGGCUCGGGCGAGGCGUGAUCGAGUCCCUCGUAUGAACUGAUCCCUGACUUAAUCGCACCCAUCAGGUCUUUGCAGCUUUAUGCUGAUGGGGGUUACCAGCUGAGAAUUAGGAGCCUUGAGGGUACCCCUAAUUAUGGUCCCCGACACUAGUGUUGUAUUGUUUGUGCUUGUGCUAAGAUGAUCUCUUUUGCACUUGUAAUAGGGGCUCAUUCAAGUACUCUACUGAUCGAAAAUGGUUGGCGUCUGUGAUGGUUCAUUCUUUUGCACGUCUUCUACACUGGUACAUUGACGGCUGAUGGAGAUGGAUGGUGGUGUAGCUGUUUUGUUUAGCACUCUAGGUGUUGGACCACUGUUUUGUUAAUGGAUGCUAUGUAACAGUAGUAUAAAACUAAUGUAAACUUGUUUAGGUUGCUGUGAAACCACAUUGUUAUGGGGUUGUUACAUAGCUGAUAUGUUUUGAACAUGAUAUGGAGAUCUCUUUGCCUUCUUGUUUUGGGUGUUACUGUUGUGCCAUUCGUCUCACAAGUUAUGCUAUUUUAUUAUUUGCUUUUGGAUUGAUAUAUAUUCGUCUCUGAAGCCUUCCUUCACUACAAUAUGUCUCUGUCAUCAACGCAUCCACUGGCUAUAGAUGUCCAAACAGUGCGGGCCGCCCGUUUGGCCCGUGGCACGACACGAAUUUAGCCCGGUCCAAACAUGGCCCGGCACGGCCCGUUUAGCGGGCCGGGUAUGGACAGAUACGGCGGCCCGCGUGCUUUGGCCCGGCCCGACCCGAUAAAUGGGUUGGCCCGUCGGCGGCCCGCAUAUUUAUGUAAAUACUAAAUAUGUAAAUACAUUUAAUUCUCUCAUAGUAUGUAAAUACUAAAUACACGGCCAAACAUUUAUAAAAUGCAUACAUAAAUAUUUUGUUGUCUUAAUAUAUAUAAAUAAUAUGUUAUUAUAUAUGAUUAAUUCGGUUAAAUAUAUGUAUUUAUAUACCGUUCUACUGUUGGUUCGGGCCAGUGUCUGGCCCGGUCCGUUGAGGCCCACCGGGCCAAUGGGCCGGCCCGGCACGAUUUUUCCCUGUGCGUGCCGGGUUUGGGCAUGUCCCUAGACACGUGGGCCAGCCCGAUCCGGCCCGAAGCAUCAACGGGCCGUGCCUGGCCCGACCCUAUUCGUACCGGGCCGAAACGGGUUCGGGUCAGGUCCGUACCGGGUGGCCCGUUUGGACAUCUAUACCACUGGCUAAGACACGAAGCCCUGGAUAGCUUCUUUUAUGGCCGUGUCCACGCUUCCGCAUCUCAUAUUUUUUCUCAUCAAAAGAUGCAUCGACGUUCACCAUCACUUUUCCCUCAGGAGGUUUCUAUCAUCCGUGCUAUAUUUUUGUUUCUUCGUUCCUUGUUUGUUGCUAGCUUCAGGGACGGAUCCAGCGGUGGGGCGGGCGGGGCUCGAGCACCUCUACCGCUUCUGAUCCCAUGGAGCCCCACUACAGCCUCCCCUAAUCUAAAAUAUAUACAAUAUAAUGUAGAAUGGGAUUUUAUACUGCAGCAAUUUAGUUCAGUCCCUCCUAAACUUUUUUCUGCUCCGUCCCUGGCUAGCUUGGAGUAAUUUCUUUGUAAAGCUGGAGCUCCCCAGCAAUGUCCUUAAUAUUAACGGCCUCUUUAAUCUGAAAACGGAAAAAUAAAGAAGAGAGAAAUGGGAGAAGAAGAAAAAAGGAUGGAGAGCAAGUGGGUCCUGUGGCAGGAGGAACAUGGAGCACAGAAAAGAGUAGUAAUAUAAUGUGAUGGAACGGCCGGAAUUGAGAUGGGUGGAACGGUUUCCCUCCACAACCACUUGCUCCUCAUCUACUUUUCUCCUCCGCCUUAAACUCAUCCUUGCUCCUGCCUGCCGUCGUGCAUCAUCAUCUCCGGCCAGGGCCAGGGCAUUCGUCUCCGCCUCCGGUCCGGCCUCCUCCACUCCGCGCCCCCCCAGACGCGUCGCUGCGUAGCUGCUGGCCGCCAUGGCCACCGUCAUGGCCGCGGCCGUCUAGUCCUUCCCGUCCUCCUCGGCCGUCGUCGCCAAGGCGUCGCCGGCGUCCCCCUGUGCCGCCCCGCACUUCCGCCCGAGGGCCGUGCGGGCCGCUAUCCGGGCGCAGGCGUCCGCCGUCGAGGCGCCCGCCACGGCCAAGGCCAAGAAGGAGUCCAAGAAGCAGGAGGAGGGCGUCGUCACCAACCUAUACAAGCCCAAGGAGCCGUACGUCGGCAGGUGCCUCCUCAACACCAAGAUCACCGGCGACGACGCGCCGGGGGAGACGUGGCACAUGGUCUUCAGCACCGAAGGUAGGUACUGAGGUUAAAAAAAAAUCUGAUUUUUGCUGCCUCGUUCGUUCGUCGUUCAAUUGCUGUAUUCGUAUCGUAUGUAUAUACGCUGAUGGACGCACGUACGCAGGCCCUUCUUUGCCUGCGCGAGGUCUCAGAAUCCGGGGGGAAAAAGAAAAGAAAAGAAAAGAUGAUGACUGUCUCUACCUCUUGCUACAUGUGCCGCUUCCUCGUCCGGGCUCCUCCGCUCAAGUCCAGGAGUGCAGUGCGCUGUCCAAGCGCCGCCCCACCAGGUGCUAGCGGUGCCACCUCCACCUCCAAGGUAAACCCACACCUACUACCUGUGUGCUUCGUAAGGCCUAUCUACACCUGCAGGCUGCAGCCACCAGCACAGGGAUAUGUACCAGCCUGCUCGUUUCAGCUGGAACAGUAUUCUCCAGUUUUGGAUUGGAACAUGCAGCCACAGCCAAAAGUAGCUGAAGCGAUUGGAGUUGUAGCUUUUCGGGGAUAAUCAAAUGAUAGGAGAGUGGAGGUGGUGGAUCAUGUGUAAGCUUUAGACUACUGACUGAUUCACUUGUCUAUCCGGCGCUGGUUGCUUUCCCUGUGUGAAGCUUGUCCUAGAGGUGAAAGAACGGCUAGCAAGGGAGCACCCAGGCCUCCCCACGGGCAGGUACGGGAGGGACGAUGACGACAUGGUCCUCUGGUUCCUAAAGGACCGCAAGUUCUCCGUCGAUGAAGCCGUCUCCAAGCUCACCAAGGCGAUUGUAUCCUCUAAUUCACUCGCUUGUAGCAGUGAAGCUCACACCUAAUAGCUUCUUUACUGGCUCACUAAAUUCCUGGUAUGGUAACCGAGUUCAUAUAGCACUGCUAUCUUCAGUUUUCCUUUCAACUGCAUUAGAAAUGGCGUCAGGACUUUGGUGUUGCAGAGUUAUCAGAGGAAUCAGUGAAAAGCCUGUACCAAACUGGCAAGGCAUAUGUACAUGAUUCCUUGGACAUUUAUGGCCGACCUGUGCUGAUUGUAGUGGCAGCCAAACAUUUUCCUUCGGUGCGUUCCGUUUGUUUCCCAAUCUUGAUUUGGAAAUGCUCAACAGGAUAGUGGCUACACACUGUUUCCAGUUUUUUAGAAUAGCACACAUAACAAAGGCUGACAGUAUGCAGUGGAAAGUAUCAGUACUUCACACCUCAUAGCAGCUCUAAAAUUAAACUACAUGGCUUGGCUAGCUGACCUGUAACCUAUGGAUGUCUUAGUAUUCAACAUGCAUUUGUUCUUCAUAAUAAUGAUGAUCCAUGUAUAAUAUGCUACUGCAGACACAGGAUCCAGUUGAAAACCAGAAGCUAUGUGCCUAUUUGGUUGAGAAGGCAGUCAACAGACUUCCGCCAGGAGCAGAGAAUAUACUUGGGAUCUUUGAUCUGCGAGGCUUUCGGGUUGAAAAUGGUGAUCUCCAGUUCCUAAAGUUUUUGGUGAGUUUGGUAGCUUCAAGGCAUGACUAAGCAUCUCUGAUUACCUUUUUUUCGGUGGUAGACAUGCAUAUUUUUAUUUGUGACGAUAUGAAUGAAACAUUGUGUUUAUUUGUGACGAUAUGAAUGAAACAUUGCGGCCGUGGCGGCUGUGGUUCCGGCGGGAACUGCCGAUCUGGAGGACUCCAACCCGCCACCGCCAAUCCCCCCGUCGAUGGUUGUCGAUCCGCCGCCUCCUCCACCGCUCACCCACCAGGAAGACACUGUCGCCGCCCUCACCGCUGCUCGUGCAGAGCACGCUGCUCGACAGGCCCGCUUGCGGGAAGCGGCCCUCGCGUGGGAGCGCGCGCGCGCGGCCGCCGAUGCUAUCGCUGCUCAAAUUGCCGCGGCGGAACAGCACCUCGCUUCGCCUGCGGCCCACGACGGCGGGGCCACCUCCGCUAACACCAUAGGCGGCGUGUACGGCGUCCCGACCGUACCGACAGUCGGGACCGGGCCCCGGACCAUCCCCGAGGUGCUCUGGCAUGACCCGGCUGACCCGCUCGUGGCUCAGCUCCACCUACAGGCUGGGAGUGUCCAGAACAUUCGCCUGAUGGUUCCGGUCGUCCUGGAGUCAGAGUCGCCAUCCUACACGCGUUGGCGGGACUUGCUUCUUCUCACUCUUCGUCGCUACGCCCUGGAUGACCACGUCCUCUGCGACCCCAUCGGUGUGGCGCCGACUGCUGCGUGGGUGCGCCUCGACAGCAUCGUGCUCACCUGGAUCGUGGGGACGAUCUCCGUCGACCUCCACAGCCUCCUCCGGAACCUUCCUCAUGCUCGUGCUGUUUGGCUUGCCAUCGAGAGCCAGUUCAUGGGCAACGCCGAGGCCCGGGCUCUCCGCCUCGACGCCGCUUUUCGCACCUUCGUCCAGGGGGACCUCAGUGUCAGUGCAUACUGCCGCCAGAUGAAGACCAUGGCGGACUCACUUGGCGAUCUGGGCUGCCCCGUGGAGGACCGCAUCCUAGUCCUCAACGUCCUCCGCGGCCUCGGCGAUCGCUACACCCACCUCCGGUCAUUGCUCAUGCGCCAGCGCCCCUUUCCUACCUUCCUCCAGGUUCGCGACGACCUCGCCCUGGAGGAGAUCACUCUGGGGGCUCAGGCUGCAUCGAUCUCCGGCCCGGGGUCCUCGUCCUCUUCGACAGCACUUGCGGCUUUCACCCCGACCCGUCCGCCCACUCCGUCACAGUCUGCCCUUGGCCCUCGCCCUCCCGGACCGAGCAUGGGCGGCGGGGGUCGAGGUGGCGGAGGCGGGGGCGGUGGUGGACGUCGCCGCCGUGGUGGCCGCGAUGGUGGUGGUGGUGGUGGUUCCGGUGGUGGUGUCCGUGGCCACGCAUCGACGCCGGGACCCCAGCAGAGUGCGCCCUGGCCCACUUUCCACCACCCGUGGUCAGGGCGCAUCUCCAUGUGGCCGUUCCAGGGGCCUGGCUCUGAGGCUCGGCCUCCGGCGGCCAUGUUCGCUGGUGCGCAGCCAGGGUUCGCUUUCGCCUCUCCGUCGCCCUGGACCUCGACACCUGCCGUUUCGUCGUGGCCCACGCCUCCGGCUUCUCCACCGUCCGGGCUGGUUGGUUGGGACGCGACCGCCCUGGCUGCCUUCCAGACUCCUACUCUGACUCCGCCGAUGGGUCCCGAGUGGAUCGCGGACACCGGUGCUACCUACCACACCACCCCCGACCCUGGUAUACUCACCUCUGUUCGCCCUCCUUCUUCCUCUCUCCCCUCGUCCAUCAUGGUGGCGAAUGGCUCGUGUCUUCCUGUCACAUCUGUGGGUGCCGCCGGCCCUCCCGGCUCUUUUCGCGUUCCCGAUGUUCUUGUCGCUCCUUCUUUGGUCCACAAUCUUCUUUCUAUUCGUCGAUUUACUGCUGAUAAUUCUUGUUCUGUCGAGUUUGACUCUUUUGGUCUUACUGUGAAGGACUCGGCAACUCGACGCCCCCUCCUCAGAUGUGACAGCACCGGCCCCCUCUACACCCUUCGGCUUCCGUACACCACAUCUUCUUCGUCUUCGUCACCUGACACAGCUGCUGUUUUUGCUGCCGCCACGUCUUCUACCACCUGGCAUCGUCGCCUUGGUCACCCCGGACGCGACGCCUUGAUGCAGCUUACUCGUAGUGUCACUAUCCCAUGUACUAGAUCCCAUGAUGAGCAUCUUUGUCAUGCGUGCCAGUUAGGCCGUCAUGUUCGUCUUCCUUUUUCUUCUUCUUCCUCUCAUGCUACUCAUGCAUUUGAUCUUGUACACUGCGAUUUGUGGACUUCACCUAUUACCAGUAUGUCAGGCUACAAAUACUAUCUUGUGGUGCUUGAUGACUUUUCUCAUUAUGUGUGGACUUUUCCUUUGCGUGCCAAGUCUGAGACUUUCCCCGCCCUCCGCCACUUCUUCGCCUGGGUGUCCACUCAGUUCGGCCUCACCAUUAAGGCCGUUCAGUGUGACAAUGGUCGGGAGUUCGAUAACUCCACCUCCCGCGACUUCUUUCUCUCCCACGGGAUGCAAUUGCGGAUGUCUUGCCCGUAUACCUCCUCCCAGAACGGCAAGGCUGAGCGCAUGAUUCGCACGACCAACGACACCAUCCGCACUCUUCUUCUCCAGGCGCACCUUCCGGCUUGUUUCUGGGUCGAGGCCCUCCACACCUCUACCUACCUACUCAACCGUCUCCCUUCCACUGCGUGCCCGGCCCCCACUCCUCACCAGGCACUCUUCGGUACCCCUCCGCGCUAUGACCACCUCCGUGUCUUCGGGUGUGCUUGCUACCCGAACACCGCUGCCACUGCUCCUCACAAACUAGCACCCCGUUCCACCCUCUGUGUGUUUCUCGGGUACUCCCCGGACCACAAAGGCUACCGCUGCUUUGACCUCUGCUCUCGCCGGGUCCUCAUCUCUCGCCAUGUGGUGUUUGAUGAGUCCGUAUUUCCCUACUCCUCCACCACCACACCACCCUCCUCCGACCCUGACCUUGACCUCUUCACUCUCUUUCAGACUGACGCGGUGGUCGAGCCACCUCUCCUUCCUCUCUCUGCAGGUACUCGCUCACCACCUGUCGGUCCUACUCCCGGCCCGGUACCUUGCUCGGGUUCGGUGGUGUCGCGUCUCCGCGGCGCCCCGUCUCCGAUCGCCCCCGGGCCGAGCGAGGGUGGUGGGACUGCACCGCCUCCGGGGCCGUCGGUUACGACCCCUCCGUCCCGCUUCGCCCAGCCGGUGCGGGUCUACCAGCGCCGGCUGCCGCCGCCGGGGUUCGCCCCUCCACCGUCGCCGCCCCUGCCGCUGUCACCGCCGGUGGCCCAGUCCCCGCCAGGGACACCUACACCUCCGCCGCGGCCACCCGCGGCCCGUGUCGAGACGCCGGUGUACCAUCCACCGCUCCUUCAUCGCGACCCGCGGCAUGUCCACCCGAUGGUGACGCGGCACGCGGCCGGUACCCUGCCGCCCCGUGUCUUGGCGGCCACGACCGCCGACUCGCAGGUUUCUCCGGUACCCUCCUCCGUCCGCACCGCCCUGCUGGACCCCCACUGGCGUCAGGCGAUGGAGGAGGAGUACGCGGCGCUCGUCGCCAACCAGACGUGGGAUCUGGUGCCCCGUCCGCCCGGCACCAACGUCGUCACCGGCAAGUGGAUCUGGACACACAAGCGACGGGCCGAUGGUACCCUGGACCGGUACAAGGCUCGCUGGGUUCUUCGGGGCUUCACUCAGCGCCCCGGAGUCGACUACGAUGAGACCUUCAGCCCGGUUGUGAAGCCGGCCACCGUCCGCACGGUGCUCUCGCUGGCCCUCGCUCGCUCCUGGCCAGUUCACCAGCUCGACGUCAAGAACGCCUUCCUGCACGGCGCCCUCACCGAGACCGUCUACUGCUGUCAGCCUGCGGGGUUCGUGGACUCCUCUCGCCCUGACAUGGUCUGCCGGCUCAACAGGUCCCUCUAUGGCCUCAAGCAGGCCCCCCGGGCGUGGCAUUCCAGACUGGCUACCUUCCUGGUGACACUGGGCUUCGUGGAGGCCAAGUCCGACACGUCUUUGUUCGUCCACCAUCAUGGCGCAGAGACUGCCUACUUGCUACUCUACGUGGAUGACAUUGUCCUCACCGCCUCCAGUCCGUCUCUUCUUCGCCGCUUCGUCGACGCGCUUCAGCGGGAGUUUCCGGUCAAAGAUCUGGGCGUGCUUCACCAUUUCCUGGGGGUCAUUGCUGAGCCUCGCCCCUCAGGACUCCUCCUUCACCAGCGACAGUAUACACUUGACAUUCUGGAGCGGGCCCAGAUGAGUGACUGCAAGCCCUGCUCCACCCCUGUCGACACGCAGGCCAAGCUCUCUGCGGCCACGGGUGACCCAGUCGCGGACCCCACCGGCUACAGGAGUCUUGCCGGUGCCCUUCAGUACCUCACCUUCACCAGGCCGGACAUCUCCUACGCCGUGCAGCAGGUCUGCCUCCAUAUGCACGACCCUCGGGAGCCCCACCUUGCGGCGCUCAAGCGCCUCCUCCGUUACCUCCGGGGCACCGUCGACUACGGACUGCUUCUUCACCGGUCUACCUCCUCCGAGCUGGUCGUCUACACUGAUGCUGACUGGGCCGGGUGCCCAGACACUCGGCGCUCCACCUCCGGCUACGCUGUCUUCUUAGGCGGCAACCUUGUGUCCUGGUCGUCGAAGCGCCAGCCGGUCGUUUCCCGCUCCAGUGCAGAGGCGGAGUACCGUGCCGUGGCCAACGGCGUGGCGGAGGCUGCCUGGCUCCGGCAGCUCCUUACCGAGCUUCACAGUCCCCUCUCCAGGAGCUCGGUGGUCUACUGCGACAACGUCAGCGCGGUCUACCUCUCCACCAACCCAGUGCAGCACCAGCGGACCAAGCAUGUCGAGAUCGAUCUACACUUCGUCCGUGAUUAUGUCGCCGCCGGUACUGUUCGGGUCCUCCACGUCCCGACCACCUCCCAGUUUGCCGACAUCUUCACCAAGGGUCUUCCGUCCUCGACCUUCGCCGAGUUUCGCUCCAGCCUCAACAUCAGUAGUGGCUAGUUGAGUCUGUGGGGGGAUCCUAUUGUGUGAUGUACUUCUUUUUGAGUCCAGUCUGUGUACUCCGCUGCGCCGGACGUCCAGACUGCGGGGGGGUGUUAGAGUGUUAGGCCUGUUAAGGCUUGGCCCAUGUGGCCCAUGUAAACACUAUAUAGCUAACCUGUUGGGUUAGCCCUAAACCAUUGAAUAUUCACUCCAAUAGUAAAAAAUUGGUAAUCAUUCAUGUAAGGUAUACAUCUGUUGCAAAAAGUAAUUCCGGCCGAAUAAAACAAGAAACUUUUUCCUGGAUAUGAAAACUCUGUUGAUGCAUGCCAAUUUAAAAAACAAAGGACGGUGCGUGUUCAUGCUCCCAGAAGUCAGAAGGCGAAAAAGUUUAUCUAAUGGAUUAAUUCAAAUCACAUAUGGAGUUCUAAUUCUUGUUCUAUGUUGCAACUAAUAUACAUAUAAACAUGAUUUUUUGGGGUAUAUGCAUUGCAAUUAAUGCCCCCUCCCAUUCCCAGAUGGACGUUUUUUACUAUUACUACCCGAAGCGGCUUGGCCAAGUUCUUUUUGUCGAUGCUCCAUUUGUUUUUCAACCAAUGUGGCAGGUUGUUAAACCUCUAUUGAAAUCAUAUGCCUCCCUGGUAUGCUCUCCCUCUCUCUUAGGUUAGCGCUUCAUCGAACGAUAUGGAACGAUAUGGAUAACCUUACAGUCUACUGCUAUGUUGCCCCUGCUAGGUAAGAUUUUGUGAUGCCGAGACUGUGAGGAAGGAAUACUUCAAAGAAGAAACGGUGCCUCCUGAUUUCCGCGAUUAGGUGACAUGAUUAUUUCUUCAGUAAUUGCAAGGCAGUUCUACCUCUGCCUUUGUGUAACGAUUGAAAUUCUAAAUUGUGCAGAUUAUUUUUAGUUCUUCCAAUCCCUCCUAAAAGCUAUUUUGCAGAAAUGUGCAGGUGGUCUCGGAAACAUGACCUUUAAUUGAUUCAGAAUCGAUUGGCACCCAGGGGGGCUGGCGCCUUCCUAUACCUUUUGAUUAACUUCUCAAAAGUUGCUCAGACGGCAGCAAACGAUUGGAGAGUCCAGUAAAAAAUGACCCUGUACUUGUAUAACUUCUGCGAAGUAGAAUGCUGAGUUUAGGCUGGUGUCUGGAGUGCUCCUGUACCAUAUUUUUCUGGUUUUGGAUGAAGCUAUAUGGACCAAAUUCAUCUCUGUUGAACAAUUGCCAAUUACAUAACUUGUGUUUGCCCAAUUCCAUGGUGUAGUACCAUAACUUCUCAGUGCAGUGCAGACAACACAUGGAUUCCAUUUUUUGAUUAAAGUAUCAUCUGCUACAAAUAUGAAUCAUGGCUUAGUUUGUAGACUUCAUAAAGAAACACACAGAUUAAUCAAACCAGUCUUCGAAGAGUCUCUGUGGAUAGGAACGUUCCAAAGCAAAGUAAGAUGCAAGUUGUAUUGCAUAAAAACCAGGUACACAUCAAUCAGCUGCAUUCUGGAAGACUAAACUGCAACACAACUACAUCUGCAAUCACAGAGAAAUCAGGUAUACGACCAAUUGUUAUCUAUUGUAAAUAUUUUGUUUUUUAGGUCAACAACGGAGAGGGUCAAGCGAUCCCCACGUACAGAUGCCAGCAUGGUCUUUUACAUGGUUCCAAGAGGAGGUAAAUCGAGUGUAGCCCUAAAAAGAUCUGCCUUGUGCCACUUCAACACUUUAACCCAGAUGCAAUAAAAAAACACUUUAACCCAGAUGCUGCAUUGUGGUGUGGCAAAGGCUUGAGAAUAUGACAAUAACAGCUGCUCAAAAACUGUUGGUAGGAACAUUUAUAGCAGCAAAAGAACAAAAUGGAAUGUGUGGUUUCUUAUCUGCCUUAGAUGAGAUAAGAUUUCGGACAUGUGUAUUCAUGUUUUCGAGUGAUUUGGCACUAUGAAUGCGCUAGAUGGUUGGUUGCUUUUUUUUGUUAAUUGCUCAGGUGAUAUAUGCUGUAUUUCUAGUCACUAGUGUUGUAUUGUUUGUGCUUGUGCUAAGAUGAUCUCUUUUGCACUUGUAACAGGGGCUCAUUCAAGUACUCUACUGAUCGAAAAUGGAUGGCGUCUGUGAUGGUUCAUUCUUUUGCACGUCUUCUACACGGGUACAUUGACGGUUGAUGGAGAUGGAUGGUGGUGUAGCUGUUUUGUUUAGCAAUUAGCACUCUAGGUGUUGGACCACUGUUUUGUUAAUGGAUGCUAUGUAACAGUAGUAUGUAACUAAUGUGAACUUGUUUAGGUUGCUGUGAAACUGUUAUACAACACAUUGUUAUGGGGUUGUUACACAGCUGAUAUGUUAUGAACAUGAUAUGGAGAUAUCUUUUCCUUUUUGGUUUGGGUUUUACUGUUGUGCCAUUCGUCUCAUAAGUUAUGCCAUUUUAUUAUUUACUUUUGGAUUGAUAUAUAUUCGUCUCUGAAGCCUUCCUUCACUACAAUAUGUCUCUGUCAUCAACGUAUCCACUGGCUGAGACACGAAGCCGUGGAUAGCUUCCUUUAUGGCCGUGUCCACGCUUCCGCAUCUCAUAUUUUUUCUUAUCAAAAGAUGCAUCGACGUUCACCAUCACUUUUCCCUCAGGAGGUUUCUAUCAUCCGUGCUGUAUUUUUGUUUCUUUGUUCCUUGUUUGUUGCUAGCUUGGAGUAAUUUCUUUGUAGAGCUGGAGCUCCCCAGCAAUGUCCUUAAUAUUAACGGCCUCUUUAAUCUGAAAACGGAAAAAUAAAGAAGAGAGAAACGGGAGAAGAAGAAAGAAAGGAUGGAGAGCAAGUGGGUCCUGUGGCAUGGAGGAACAUGGAGCACAGAAAAGAGUAGUAAUAUAAUGUGAUGGAACGGCCGGAAUUGAGAUGGUGCUCAUAAGAUACGGUGUCGUGGAGGGAAACCGUUCCACCCAUCUCAAUGACACCGUAUCUUAUGAGCAAGGAGCCCUGCUGCUCCCAUGAGCAAAAUCAAUCCAGACCACAUCCUCCACAUCCAACGGUGCUGCGUUAGGGGGGUUUUGUAAAAUGUACAGAGUUGCAAAGAACAUUUUACAAAACCCCCUGAUAUAGCACCGUUGGAUGUGGAGGGUGUGGUCUGGAUUGAUUUUGCUCAUGGGAGCACCAACGCUCUUUGCGCACAAGAUACGUUCUCUCCCUCCACAACCACUUGCUCCUCAUCUACUUUUCUCCUCCGCCUUCCACUCAUCCUUGCUCCUGCCUGCCGUCGUGCAUCAUCAUCUCCGGCCAGGGCCAGGGCAUUCGUCUCCGCCUCCGGUCCGGCCUCCUCCACACCGCGCCCCCCCCCCCCCCCAGACGCGUCGCUGCGUAGCUGCUGGCCGCCAUGGCCACCGUCAUGGCCGCGGCCGUCUAGUCCUUCCCGUCCUCCUCGGCCGUCGUCGCCAAGGCGUCGCCGGCGUCCCCCUGUGCCGCCCCGCACUUCCGCCCGAGGGCCGUGCGGGCCGCUAUCCGGGCGCAGGCGUCCGCCGUCGAGGCGCCCGCCACGGCCAAGGCCAAGAAGGAGUCCAAGAAGCAGGAGGAGGGCGUCGUCACCAACCUAUACAAGCCCAAGGAGCCGUACGUCGGCAGGUGCCUCCUCAACACCAAGAUCACCGGCGACGACGCGCCGGGGGAGACGUGGCACAUGGUCUUCAGCACCGAAGGUAGGUACUGAGGUUAAAAAAAAAAUCUGAUUUUUGCUGCCUUGUUCGUUCGUUCAAUUGCUGUAUUCGUAUCGUAUGUAUAUACGCUGAUGGACGCACGUACGCAGGCCCUUCUUUGCCUGCGCGAGGUCUCAGAAUCCGGGGGGAAAAGAAAAGAAAAGAAAAGAUGAUGACUGUCUCUACCUCUUGCUACAUGUGCCGCUCCCUCGUCCGGGCUCCUCCGCUCAAGUCCAGGAGUGCAGUGCGCUGUCCAAGCGCCGCCCCGCCAGGUGCUAGCGGUGCCACCUCCACCUCCAAGGUAAACCCACACCUACUACCUGUGUGCUUCGUAAGGUCUAUCUACACCUAUAGGCUGCAGCCACCAGCACAGGAAUAUGUACUAGCCUGCUCGUUUCAGUUGGAACAGUAUUCUCCAGUUUUGGAUUGGAACAUGCAGCCACAGCCAAAAGUAGCUGAAGCGAUUGGAGUUGUAGCUUUUCGGGGAUAAUCAAAUGAUAGGAGAGUGGAGGUGGUAGAUCAUGUGUAAGCUUUAGACUACUGACUGAUUCACUUGUCUAUCCGGCGCUGGUUGCUUUCCCUGUGUGAAGCUUGUCCUAGAGGUGAAAGAACGGCUAGCAAGGGAGCACCCAGGCCUCCCCACGGGCAGGAACGGGAGGGACGAUGACGACAUGGUCCUCUGGUUCCUAAAGGACCGCAAGUUCUCCGUCGAUGAAGCCGUCUCCAAGCUCACCAAGGCGAUUGUAUCCUCUAAUUCACUCGCUUGUAGCAGUGAAGCUCACACCUAAUAUAUAGCUUCUUUACUGGCUCACUAAAUUCCUGGUAUGGUAACCGAGUUCAUAUAGCACUGCUAUCUUCAGUUUUCCUUUCAACUGCAUUAGAAAUGGCGUCAGGACUUUGGUGUUGCAGAGUUAUCAGAGGAAUCAGUGAAAAGCCUGUACCAAACUGGCAAGGCAUAUGUACAUGAUUCCUUGGACAUUUAUGGCCGACCUGUGCUGAUUGUAGUGGCAGCCAAACAUUUUCCUUCGGUGCGUUCCGUUUGUUUCCCAAUCUUGAUUUGGAAAUGCUCAACAGGAUAGUGGCUACACACUGUUUCCAGUUUUUUAGAAUAGUACACAUAACAAAGGCUGACAGUAUGCAGUGGAAAGUAUCAGUACUUCACACCUCAUAGCAGCUCUAAAAUUAAACUACAUGGCUUGGCUAGCUGACCUGUAACCUAUGGAUGUCUUAGUAUUCAACAUGCAUUUGUUCUUCAUAAUAAUGAUGAUCCAUGUAUAAUAUGCUACUGCAGACACAGGAUCCAGUUGGAAACCAGAAGUUGUGUGCCUAUUUGGUUGAGAAGGCAGUCAGCAGACUUCCGCCAGGAGUAGAGAAUAUACUUGGGAUCUUUGAUCUGCGAGGCUUUCGGGUUGAAAAUGGUGAUCUCCAGUUCCUAAAGUUUUUGGUGAGUUUGGUAGCUUCAAGGCAUGACUAAGCAUCUCUGAUUACCUUUUGUGUUGUUCGGUGGUAGACAGGCAUAUUUUUAUUUGUGACGAUAUGAAUGAAACAUUGUGUUUAUUUGUGACGAUAUGAAUGAAACAUUGCAAAAGGAGGGCAGUAAUGCCACAGUAAAAAAACUGGUAAUCAUUCAUGUAAGGUAUACAUCUGUUGAAAAAGUAAUUCCGGCUGAAUAAAAUAAGAAACUUUUUCCUGGAUAUGAAAACUCUGUUGAUGCAUGCCAAUUUAAAAAACAAAGAACGUGCAUGUUCAUGCUCCCAGAAGUCAGAAGGCGAAAAAGUUUAUCUAAUGAAUUAAUUCAAAUCACAUACGGAUGGAGUUCUAAUUCUUGUUCUAUGUUGCAACUAAUAUACAUAUAAACAUGAUUUUUUGGGGUAUAUGCAUCGCAAUUAAUGUCCCCUCCCAUUCCCAGAUGGACGUUUUUUACUAUUACUACCCGAAGCGGCUUGGCCAAGUUCUUUUUGUCGAUGCUCCUUUUGUUUUUCAACCAAUGUGGCAGGUUGUUAAACCUCUGUUGAAAUCAUAUGCCUCCCUGGUAUGCUCUCCCUCUCUCUUAGGUUAGCGCUUCAUCGAACGAUAUGGAUAACCUUACAGUCUACUGCUAUGUUGCCCCUGCUAGGUAAGAUUUUGUGAUGCCGAGACUGUGAGGAAGGAAUACUUCAAAGAAGAAAUCGUGCCUCCUGAUUUCCGCGAUUAGGUGACAUGAUUAUUUCUUCAGUAAUUGCAAGUCAGUUUUACCUCUGCCUUUGUGUAACGAUUGAAAUUCUAAAUUGUGCAGAUUACUUUUAGUUUUUCCAAUCUCUCCUAAAAGCUAUUUUGCAGAAAUGUGCAGGUGGUCUCGGAAACAUGGCCUUUAAUUUAUUGAGAAUCGAUUGGCACCCAGGGGGACUGGCGCCUUCCCAUACCUUUGGAUUAACCUCUCAAAAGUUGCUCAGACGGCAGCAAAUGAUUGGAGAGUCCAGUAAAAAAUGACCCA